UAGCUGACGGUGUUGACAUACUCUCUGUCUCCCUUGGGGGCCGUAAACCGUUAGAUUAUUUCAGAAAUGCCAUUGACAUUGGAGCUUUUCACGCUUUAAGAAAAGGAAUAUUCACUUCCGCGUCUGCUGGUAAUGAAGGUCCAAACCUGAAAACUAUUACAAACUUUGCACCAUGGUCUCUUGCUGUAGCUGCUAGCACCAUAGAUCGCCACUUUGAUACCAAGGUUCAAUUGGGAAACCACAAAAUUUAUGAGGUAAUUGAUACAGAAUUUUGGUAGUGAUUCUGGUUGAGCAAUAUAUACACUUUUGGAGAAUCAACAAUAUAUAUAUAUAUAUAUGCUGAAGAUGCACCAAAAUACUAGAGAAGUGAUUAACAUGAGAGUUGAUUAUGAUUUGUUUUUGCUUCCUUGGUAGGGAAUAGUAACAAACACAUUUGAACUCAAGGGUAAAUUCUACCCCAUAGUAUAUGCUGGAGACGUUCCAGAUAGGGCAGCAGGUUACAAUGGGGAAACAUCCAGGUAUGUGUACGCAUUUUGAGAGUAUAUAUACCAUUUAUAUUGAAGAACCACGGUAGUCUAGCAUAAGUCUAACCAGGUGCUAAUAACAUGGAUAUAUAUAUGGAACAGGUUAUGCCAAACAGGCACGUUAGACACAAAAUUGGUGGAGGAUAAAAUUGUUCUUUGCGAUGGGCCUACUGGGGAUGGGGCAUUAUAUGCAGGCGCAUUUGGUUAUGUUUUGACAAGCCGAAAUGCAGCAGAUGUAAUCGAUCCUGUUCCAAUACCAGCAGCUUCCGUUUGGUUCCAUGUUGGUAACGAAAUUACCCAUUACAUAAACUCAACCAGGUAUCAAUAUUUGAGAAUGAUUGAUUUAAAAUAUUACUAAUGUGCGAAACUAACAUAAAUCAAAGACCCCUUAUUAUGUUAUUGCUAAUAAAUCCUGAAUCCCUGUAAUGAUUCGUAGGAACCCAACAGCAACAAUUUGGAAAAGUACUGAGGGUAGGGAUGCACUGGCCCCAUAUGUACCUUCAUUCUCAUCAAGGGGUCCAAAUCCAAACACUCCUAAUAUUCUCAAGGUAACUUCAAGGCCCCGUAUGUGUGUGAAUGCCGACUUAAAAAAUGAACAAACCGAAUCAUGAAUAUUGAGGGGUCUUAAUUUUCCUCCUUGUUUUCUCCUAUAUGUUGCAGCCAGAUAUCGCUUCUCCUGGAGUUUCCAUUCUAGCAGCAUGGCCUCCAAUUGCCCCAGUUUCAGGUGUUGAAGGUGAUGACAGAGUAGCUUCAUACAAUAUAAUCUCGGGGACAUCAAUGGCAUGCCCACAUGCUGCGGGCGUGGCUGCAUACGUCAAAUCAUUUCACCCCAAUUGGUCACCUGCUGCUAUCCUGUCAGCUCUUACGACUACUGGUAUAGAUGCAUUUUCAUAAAUGUACCCAUUACAAUACAACCGUUCUCUCACAUAUUUGAUGAGUUGUGUGACCAAUUAUUAUCAGAGAUCAUGUGACCAAGUCUUGUGAGAGAGACCCUACAUGUAAUUAGACUUUGUCCAUGAUGUACAUUGUAUUACCUAAGAUUUAUAUGUUUGAUUAAUUUGUAACGAUUUUGCAGCCAAACCUAUGAGUGCAAAUCUUAACCCUGAAGCCGAAUUCGCGUAUGGUGCUGGCCUAAUAAAUCCUAGUAGGGCUCCGUAUCCUGGUUUGGUAUACGAUGCUGCUGAAAUCGAUUACGUAAAUUUUUUGUGUGCACAUGGCUAUAGUACCAGAUUAUUGAAAGCCCUUACCGGGGAUAGCUGCUCAUCAUCACAAUCUAGUCAUGGAACACUCAGUGAUCAUCUAAACUAUCCUUCUGUUGCACUUUCCACCUCGAACCCUAAAUCCGUCAAUGGCAUUUUCAAUAGGACCGUCACAAAUGUUGGAUCACCAAAGUCCACAUAUAAAGCUAAAGUGAGUGCACCACCAGGACUUGAAAUCAAAGUUAAUCCAAGCAUUCUAAAGUUCACAUCUCUCGGGCAGAAGCUAUCGUUUCAAGUCACGGUGAAAGGGUUGAUUGAAAAAACCAUAGUCUCUGGUUCUUUGGUGUGGGAUGAUGGUAAUUUCCAAGUGAGGAGCCCCAUUGUAGUGUAUUUUGUGUUUUGACAACAAGGUAUGUGUAAUAAUGUAUGAUGUAUGAAUAAGCAACAUGAAGGGCUCCAAUGAAACAAAAGUGCAACGUACUGAUCACGAUGAUGUAUUUUAAAUGAAAAUUAAAUUAUUAUAUAUUUAUGAACCUUUAAUAUGAUGCAGUACAUCGAAAUUUGAAACAUACUCAUUUAAGGAUAUUUUAUAGUUCUCUGUGCAAUCUAAUUGUAUAUUUGAUUGUUCAUUUUUGGUCUGCAUGGGAAAUAUGGAUUUUCUCCUAUGUUGAUUACUUGAUUUAAGUCCCCAUCCCUCGUUGCCCGUUUAUACAGGUUGUAGAGUCGGAACCUUCGUGAUUAAAAACAAAAGACCGAAAAACUUCGGUGGGGACAUUUGCAAACAACUACGUAUACACAUGAAAAAUAUCAGAAUAGUGAUGCGUAAAAUAAGUUAACACACAAAAUUAAACCCUCUUUUUAUCAAAUGUAGUAAAGUAUGUAAGUAGGGAUCGUUCUAGGCCGGGGAUUAGGAGGGAUUGCUAAACACUUGAAAACUGACUUAAAAACAUAAACACAAAAUUUAAACACUAAACUAGACUCAAAGAAUGCAAAACUAUACUUUAAAAUACUUAAACAAACAUAAAACUCAAAACAGCAACCUAAUGACUCAAAACCGCCUAAAAACCACUUUCUGGGCAGUUUUGAGAACCUAACAAGAACUUGGACGAAGUUGGAUGAAAACUUGAAUCAAAACACUUAGAAACACAAAUCAAAACACUUUCUAACUAAUCUAAGACUUCAAAAUAAAGGGGGAUUUGUUUUGGACGAAAAUUGAAAACAAAACAGAAACUUUAAAACAAAACAGAUUGUAAAACGUUUUUGGAUGAAAAGGAUGGAUAAAAGGCUAGUUAGGAGGUUCUUCUCCACACAUGACACACUUGCAAACAAAAUGAUUUUCAGUUGUUCUUUCAAUAAAUUAUGAAACUCAACACCCCAAGUUAAUUAGAUACGCUUAAAUUAACCUUCAAGUUCUCCUUAAGUUAAUGAAUUGGAUGGAAAAGCGCAUACAACAAUUCAAAGCAUUCCUCAAAGGUUCCUUACGUGAUGAGCACAAUAAAGAUACAAUCAAGAAUCAUGAAGCACAAUGAGAACUAUAAGUGUUGACGAGGCAUUCGUACUAUGAUGAGCAUGAAACUAGUGCCAAGAAUUCAUUCAACGCGAUCGUUUUCAAGCGACCUUCACUACUUGUAAUUAUAAGAUUGUAACUAUUAGGUGAAACUCCCUCAUAAUCUAGCAUCAUAUUCAUGCAUGAAAACUAAGCGUGCACUCUCAAUCAACAUACACAAAUAAGUUAUCAAUCAAGUAGAUGAACGAAUUGAAUCCGCAACUUAUGAAAUAACAACUGAAUGUAAUCAAAUCAUAUUGCAAGCAUGUACAUGGUUUCGAAUCACCCCCCAACUAAGGGGGUUUAGUUCCUCAUUCUUGCAAUACAAAGAUACAUAAAAUUAGACAUUAAAAUCAAAGGUAAGAAAAACACCUAAAAUGCUCCAACUUGGAAAGCAAGUGCAUCAAUGGAUCUCCCUUCCUCCUUGUUGCGGCAUGAAGCUUGUGGACAGAUUUUUGGGUGGAUUUAUGGUGUGUAGAAUGGAUGGGGAAUGAUAUGGAGGGGUUUAGGGUGAGUGUGGAAGAGUGUUUGAUGGUUGGAAGGUGGUGGAGAACUAGGCAAAGAGGGUGGAAGAAGGUGGAGUGGUGAUUAUGUUUUCUAGGCACUAGAAUGGUGUUUUUGGGGUGUUUUGCUUCCUAGGGUGUGUAUGGACGAAUUUCUGUGAUAAAAUGAUGAAUAUGGGGGAUUGUUCUUUGGCCAAGGGGUGUAAACAUGUAUUUAUAGGCCCCAAAAACCUUAGAAAAUAAGGUUAGGUUAAGGAUGAAAUGCAUGGCAAUUUGUGUGUGUGGUGUGCAAUGGUCCAAGGGUGAAAAUGAAGUAAUGAUGCAAAGUGUGAAGGGUAAAAUGGAGUGGUGUUGUAGCUAGGGAGCAUGAAUGAUUGUGUACAUUGCAUAGAGAUGGAAAUGGAGGUGAAAUGUGUCAACAAAUGGGUCAAAGGUGCAACAACAUGUGUUGCACAUGGCAUUGGAUUCCAAAUGUGAAUGAUGGAGCAUCAAUUGGUGCAUGUAAUGGAUGUAAAGGUUGUCUAAAAUCUAAUGGGUGAAGGGAACAAGAGGUAUCAAGCAAUUGAGUGAAAUAAUUAAAUGAAUUAAAGCAUGAAAUCAGAAAUUAUGUAGGGGACAAGAGUGAUCAAGCAUGGCAUGGAAUCCAAAGGGAAUUCUAUGUGGUUUGCAUGGCAAGGAAUGCAAGUUGGGGUGACAGAUUUUUGGGCUGUUUUCUUCAUCUUUUGGACCAUAAUUCUUCAUAUUCUUGGCCUCUUUAGUUCUCAAAUUCGUCCAUCCACUUGGCCCAUGCAUUUGCUAUCCAUUCCAAGCCCGAAACAUGCUCCAAAGGCCUCCAAAAUGCAUCUUCUUGCAUACUUUGUACUUAGAGUCUUUCACUUUGCAAGUGGGCUUCUUUGCAUGUGUAUGAGUUGUCAUUGUUUAUCCUUGCAAUUACACACACACACACUUGCACACACAUAUGCCCAAAACGUCCAUCCUCAUGCAUGCAAUCCAUUUGAGCCCAAUAUUGAUCCAACAUGCACCAAAAUGCACUUUUCUUGCCAAGGUUGUUAUUAAGACCUACAAACAAAUGAAAAUGGCUUUAAACACUAAAAUAACUAAAGAAACACAACGUAAACACACAAGAACAAGCCAAUUAAGUCGCAUAAAUAUGCUCCUAUCAAAUUCCCCCACACUUAGCUUUUGCUAGUCCUCGAGCAAAACAAAGAAAUAAAACGAAACAAAACAAAUAAAACACAACCUAAACCUUCCAACAUUUGCCUCAGGGAUUUCCAAUGCACAUGACAUGUUAAAAAUCAUUAUCCCCACAGAUUUGAGUCAUCUUUACACUUAAGCACAUACUUAAUCAUAGUCACCACUUACUAGUUCACAAUUAAUCAAUUAAAAACAAUGUUUUUUGAUGUAGUAACAUGCCUUAGAGAAUUCACUCAAUUCCUUACAAGAUAUGCACUCAAUUUUCACUCAGAUUUUCCAACUACACACCCUAUACUAGUUAUAUGUGAGAAGAUUGAUGUAGAUAUGAAAACGAAUGCUCACAUAUAUGUAUCACAAAGAAAGCAAUUUCUGGAGUUAAUAAGCAUGUUUAGAUAUGAUCUCAUGAAUGGAAUGCUAUUACUUAGAUGCGAGAACCAGUGACACCAUAUGCUCAUAUCAAUUUCAAACUCCACAUAUUGAAACGCAUGACACUCAAGAUGAAGUUAAGGGUUGUAACGGGGCUUGGGGUGAUGGCUAACAAAUGAAGGAUAAGGAUAACAAUCGUUCUUAAAGCAAUAGCAAGUAAAGUAAUGAAAUUGAAACUUAGAAUUCACUUAGAUUGCAGUAAUCAACUUUUAACACGAAGGGAAGAUUCAAGCAAUAAUUAGGGCCGAAUUCUAUGUUUUGGACCCUUUCUUCAACAAGCAGCACUUUAAAACUCUUUUUCGCAUAUUUUUCAACUCUUUUUUUUUUUUUUUUUUUUUUUCAACUCUUCUUUUCUUUUCAACAAGCAUAAUAACUCACACUUCCCCCACACUUGUUUUCUGCCAUACAUUAAUCAAAAGAAAUUCAAUUUGAAUUAUGUUUUACUAUGCUUCAAGAACAAGGGUAUGGAUGGUCCUAAACUAGGCUAGGUAAGGAUAAUGUGGUUUAACAAAGAAUGUAGGCUAUCAAGGCUCAAUGGGGUUAACUUAAACAUAUAACGAUAUGGGAUACAUGGCAGUUUGGCUUUGGUGGUGGUAACUACAUAACUUCAUCUUGAAUAUGUUUUAUGCAAAUCAAUAGCAUGCUUUGAAUGAAAUAGGCAUGAGUUCUAGCAUUUGGAACUAAAUGAUGAAACGCCUUCUAAGUAAUAACCAAGCAAAGAAUAAUGAGAUCAUGCAACGACUUUAGAAAACAAGAAUGCACAGAUUUUAACUCUCCAAAUAAACGUUUAGGCUCAAGUCUCACAAGGUUGUAGCGUUAGUUUGAGUUCUUUCCUUCAAGCAUGUUACAAAAACUAAUUUUUUUCGUUUUUAUGAUUACAUGUGAUUUCAUAAGUUAUAACCACAACCACGCAUAAAUAAAGAGUAAAUCAAACUUUCAUCCAUGUUUAUAACUCUCUUUAACAGUCAUGCAAUUACAAACCGAAUCCUCAUCAUUGUGUUGGAAGGUACCCUAAGACACAGAUAAGCGCACAAAAACAACUCUUUUUUUUUUAUUUUCAAAAAACAAUUUUUUUCAAAUUUUUAUGAAUUUUCGGAUUUUUAUGUCAAAACACACUGAAACACUCCAAAACAGCUUAAAAAAUACUUAAAACAACAAGGAACAACACUAGAAUUAAUGGGUGAUAAAUUUCUACGAAUUUCAUGCAAAACAAUGGUUACCCCCCCCACACUUAAAUCAAACAUUGUCCUCAAUGUUUCAAGCAUAUACUCACACCAAAAACAAGCAAAUAACAAACGACAAAUAAACAUGACAAAUAUGGCAAAGUAAAAAAACCAGACAGAGUAGAGUUUAAGAACGCAAAUCUGGUUUUGGAGAUAGUUGAUCUUGUUGACUUUCCACAGCUUUGAACUUGAACUGGAUUGGAAUUGUACGGCGAAGCUUUUUCUCUUUGGCGAUGUUGCAAUUCCUUAUUUGUUCUCCAAGCAGAUGUGGCAGCCACGAGGGAGAGGUGUUGGUCUGUUUCUUUCUUUCCCAGUUUGCUGUUCAUUUCCACGAAGUUUAAUGUUAAAAUCCUUUGCAUAUUUGUUAAUGUUUCAAAAUAGAAAGUCAUAACCAAAAAUAAUUAAACAAGUAAUAAAAUAGACAAUCAAACAGAAUAAAUGGGUUGCCUCCCUUAAAGCGCUUGCUUUAACGUCUUCCAGCCGGACGAUGAACACCUUCACUUCUCCUUGGAACCCACGGCAUGCAGUGGGAUCUCCUCCACAACAUGUUCCACAAAGUUCUCGUAGUAUGGCUUCAAGCGAUGUCCAUUCACCUUGAAUUCUUGCCCGGUUCUCAAGCUCUUAAUUUGGACUGCACCAUGCACAAAAAGAUUAGUAACAACAAACGGGCCAACCCAUUUGGAACGUAACUUACCAGGGAAUAGACGAAGGCGGGAGUUGAACAAACAACACUUUCUGCCCAAUUUCGAAAGUCUUGCCUCGAAGCAUCUUAUCAUGGAAUGCCGUGGUCUUCUCUUUGUAAAUUCUAGCAUUCUCAUAAGCUUCAUGCCUUAUCUCAUCAAGUUCACUCAAUUGAAGCUUUCGAUGAAUUCCAGCUUGGUCCACAUUCAAAUUGAAGGUCUUGAUGGCCCAAUGAGCUCUAUGUUCUAAUUCCACGGGAAGAUGGCAAGGCUUGCCAUACACAAGUCGAAAAGGAGACAUACCAAUGGGGGUCUUGUAAGCCGUUCGAUACGCCCAUAGUGCAUCAUCCAGCCGUAAGCUCCAAUCUUUUCUCUAUUUGGCCCAACGGUCUUCUCCAAAAUCUGUUUGAUCUCACGAUUAGAUACCUCGGCUUGGCCAUUGGUUUGGGGGUGGUAAGGUGUGGAAACCUUAUGCGUCACAUGAUACUUCUUGAGUAAUGCCCCAAUGGUACGGUUGCAAAAAUGAGACCCUCCAUCACUGAUUAGCACCCUAGGCAUCCCAAAUCUAGAAAAGAUAUUAGUUUUCACAAAAUCUGCCACAACUUUAGAAUCGUUAGUUCGAGUGGCUUUCGCUUCCACCCACUUUGAAACAUAAUCAACGGCAAGUAAUAUGUAGGUGAAACCAAAAGAUGAAGGAAAAGGACCCAUAAAAUCGAUACCCCAAACAUCAAAGAUUUCAACAACAAAGAUGGGUACCUGCGGCAUUUGAUCUUUUUGGCUAAUAUUACCUGUCCUUUGGCAGCGAUCACAUGUUAAACAGAAGGUUCUAGCAUCUUUAAACAAAGUAGGCCAAUAAAAACCACAUUCAAGAACCUUAAAAGCUGUCCUUUGGGUGCCAAAGUGACCCCCACAUGCAUAUGUGUGACAAAAACUUAAAAUUGAGUGAAAAUCUGAUUCAUGCACACAUCUUCUUAUAACCUGAUCUGAACAAAUAUUUCCACAAGUAUGGGUCAUCCCAAACAUAAAAUCUAGCAUCCUUUUUAAGUUUAUCACGUUGGAAUUUGUUUAGGGUGCUAGGAACUUGUUUAGUCACCAAAUAAUUCACCAAAUCCGCGUACCAAGGCUCACUUACCUGGAUAGACAUUAGUUGCUCAUCGGGGAAGGUUUCAGAAAUUGGCGAUGCUUCCUCAUGCACCAUUCGACUUAGGUGGUCAGCCACCACAUUCUCCACGCCCUUCUUAUCCCGAAUCUCAAUGUCAAACUCUUGUAGAAGCAACAUCCAUCGAAUUAGUCUAGGCUUGGCCUCCUUUUUUGUGAGUAAAUACUUGAGAGCUGCAUGAUCAGUAAAAAUAAUAACUUUAGUACCAAGUAAGUAUGAUCGGAACUUAUCUAAUGCAAAUACCACAGCAAGUAAUUCUUUUUCAGUGGUGGAGUAAUUUAAUUGAGCAUCAUUUAGUGUCCUAGAGGCAUAAUAAAUAACAUGAGGUUGUUUGUUCUUUCGUUGCCCCAAAACAGCACCAAUCGCAUAAUCCGAAGCAUCGCACAUCAACUCGAAUGGAAGGCUCCAAUCUGGAGGUGUGAUAAUGGGAGCCGAAGUAAGAGCUUCUUUUAAUUGCUUGAAUGCCGUGGAGCAUGCAUCAUCAAACUCGAAAGCCACCUCUUUUUGAAGCAAUCGGCAUAGUGGUUGUGAAAUCUUGGAGAAAUCCUUUAUGAAACGCCUAUAAAAACCUGCGUGACCAAGAAACGAACGAACCUCUCUAACCGAAGUUGGAGAGGGUAAGUGACGAACAAGGUCUACCUUAGAUUUAUCCACUUCAAUGCCUUCUUCAGAAAUAAUAUGUCCUAGAACAAUACCUUGCUUAACCAUGAAGUGACAUUUUUUCCCAAUUAAGCACAAGAUUCGUUUUCAACACAACGUUUCAAAAUUAAGGUCAGAUUACUCAAGCAAUGAUCGAAUGAAUUACCAAACACGCUGAAAUCAUCCAUGAAUAUCUCAAUAAUUUUCUCCACAUAAUCAGAAAAGAUACUCACCAUGCAUCGUUGAAAUGUCGCAGGGGCAUUGCACAAACCAAAUGGCAUGCGCCUGUAUGCAAAGGUGCCAAAGGGGCACGUGAACGUUGUCUUUUCUUGGUCCUCCGGAGCUAUCACAAUUUGGUUAUAUCCGGAAUAUCCAUCAAGAAAGCAAUAAAAUUUAUAACCGGCUAACCUUUCUAACAUUUGAUCCAGGAAUGGCAACGGAAAGUGAUCUUUCCUUGUCAUGGCAUUUAACUUCCUGUAAUCAAUACAAACACGCCAACCGGUCACCACACGAGUGGGUACAAGCUCUUGUUCUUCAUUCUUCACCACCGUGAUCCCGGACUUCUUUGGAACAACCUGCACGGGAGACACCCAACGACUAUCAGAAAUAGGGUAUAUAACACCACAGUCAAGCAAUUUUAUAACCUCCUUCUUUACUACUUCCAACAUGGGUGGAUUAAGGCGACGUUGAGCCUCCCGAGAUGGCUUAGCUCCCUCCUCCAAAAGGAUGCGAUGCAUGCACGUGGUGGGACUAAUGCCUUUGAUAUCCGCCAAGGUCCAUCCAAUGGCAGAUUUGUGCUCCUUUAACACCCUUAUCAACUUGUCUUCUUCUUGGGCCGUGAGUGAGCUAGAUAUGAUGACGGGUAGUGUUUGAUCUUCUCCCAAGAAAACAUACUUCAAGUGACUAGGUAAUGGCUUCAACUCAAGUGUAGGUGGCUGCACAAUGGAUGGAAGUAACUUGUUAGCCAAAACCGAAUCUAAAAUUGAGAGUGAAGACUUACCAGAAUGUGAUGUCAAUGACUCGAGGGCCGCGACCAUUUCAAACACUUCACCACAAGGGGGCACGUCAAUAUGGUCAGAUUCCAUGCCGUGGGUUGCUUGGAUUCCCCCACACUUGUUUCUUGCUCCUAUGCCGUGUACUAAGGCUAUUUCAAGUGCAUCGUCGUUCAUUCGAUCCAAAUGUACCUGUGCCAAAGAAUCAACAAUGUCAAUAGCGAAACAAGAAUGGUCCUCCAUUGGAUAUUUAAUGGUUUCAGAAAGAUUAAAACGAAUAAUGUCUCCAUCAAACUCCAUGGUUAAUGUUCCCAUAAACACAUCUAUUUUUGUUCUCGCUGUUUUCAUGAAUGGUCGGCCUAGCAAGAUUGGCAAUGAUGGAGCAUGGCUUGAAUCCUCCAUUUCUAAGACAUAAAAAUCUGCAGGAAAGAUAAGAUGAUUGACCUGCACUAAAACAUCCUCAAGGACUCCCUUGGGAUAAGCGUUAGAACGAUCGGCCAAUUGAAUUAUCACGCCAUCUUGUUUUAACUCACCAAGGUUCAUUGAUGCAUAAAUGGAAUAUGGCAUAACAUUAAUAGAAGCACCUAAAUCUAACAUGCAUUUUUCAAAUCUAGUGUUUCCAAUUACGCAUGGGAUAGUAAAGCUCCCUGGAUCCUUACACUUUGGAGGUAACUUCCGUUGCAAAACCGCAGAUACAUUUUCACUUACCUUCACAACUUCUUUGUUUGAAAUUCUUUUCCUAGUUGUGCAUAAUUCUUUUAAAAACUUUGCGUACCUGGGCACUUGCUUAAUAGCAUCAAGUAAAGGAAUGUUUACUUGGACUUUUCGAAAGGUAUCCAAAAUGUCCUUUUCGCUUUCUUCUUUCUUCGAUUGUGCAAAUCUACGAGGGAAAGGAACAUUGGGCAGAUUAGUGUUCGAAAUCACAACAUUUGGAACAUUCUUACCUGAGGUGGACGGAUGGGAUGUCUUAGAUGGCUGCGGCAUGGGUGAUGGUACCCUUGCCGUGGGGUAGGUGUUCUCAUCUUCCUUGAGUUGUAUCUUCUCAUCUUCCUUGUUUCUCACCUCUUUUCCACUUCGUAAUGUGAUAGCCUUUGCAGAUUCGAAGCCACCCUUUGGAUUGACCACCGUAGUGCUUGGUAACUUACCAUUUUCACGGAAUUGCCCCAAAAAAUUCGGCCAUUUGUCCCAUUUGCUUCUUCAGCUCAUUAACCUCCUUUGCUUGGUUCUGCAUUCCCUGCGCCAUGGUGGUUAGUAACUGAUAUGUUUUAUCAUCAUUCAUAGACGUACCUGGGUUGGUUUGGGAAGAUUGUGCCUGAGGAGGUGGUUGUGGUUCCAUUGGCCUUGGAAAGAAACCCGGGGGUUGUCGGAAUCCACUUUGUUGGCCAUAUUGUGGUGCAUCUCUCCAUCUGAAAUUGGGGUGGUCACGCCAUCCCGGGUUGUAUGUAUUGGAGAAAGGAUCAUUCCUUGGUUGGUUUUGAUUCCCAUAACCCACAGCAUUGGCCGAUUCCCAUCCUCCAUUCUCAAUUAAUUGAGGGCAUUGAUCAGAUUGGUGUCCUUGAAUGGAGCAUACACCACAGAUUGUAGUUCCUUGCGUUUUGGGGCCUUCAACCAACUGCGAUAACAUAGACGUAAGGUUAGCCAUUUGGGAUUGUAACUCAGAAAUAGAACUUACCUCAUUGACAUGAUGUGGCCGUGGGGUGUCUCUUUGCCCAACACCUUCAUAUUGUUGUGCAUUGAGUGCUCGAUUCGCAAUGAGAGUUUUGGCAUCCCUAGGUGUCUUAUCCACUAGAGCUCCUCCCGCGGAAGCAUCCAACAUUUGCCGUUCAAGUGGUAAAAGACCUUCGUAAAAGUAUUGAAGAAGUAACUCCUCCUUCAUCUGAUGCUGUGGACAAGAAGCAACAAGUGAUUUAAAUCGUUCAUAAUAAGAUGGAAAAGAUUCACCUUGGCUUUGCUGAAUUCCGCUUAUUUUUUUACGAAGAAGAAUGAUGCGAGAAGUUGGGAAAAACUUCUCCAGAAAUGCCCUCUUCAUACUCUCCCAAGAUGUAACUGUACCGGGAGCCAACUCGUAUAACCAAUCCUUGGCUUUGUCCAUUAAAGAGAAUGGAAAAGCCUUCAUCUUUAAAAUACUUCCGUCAACGGUAACUGGAGUCAUACUUGAGCAUACCACUUCAAAUUCCUUCAAAUGUUUGUUCGGAUCCUCCAUGGACAGCCCAUGGAACUUUGGAAUGUGGUGGAGCAAACUUGACUUUAACUCGAACUCUUCAGUUUUACCUUGAGCAGCCAUGGGAUAUUGGAUACACAAUGGUGCGGCAUUAUCCAAACCCGAGGCGGCAAGCUCCUUGAGCGUACGGUUGUCCAUGGCUAUACCUUGCUCUUCUCCACCCACUUGUGCCGUGGCCUUCUCUUCAACCUCAACUUCUUGCUCUUCUAAUUCAGGCUCGGGACUAGGAGGAUUAGACUCUUGCAAUUUCUUUUUCCUUCUCAAAGUCCUCUCAAAAUCACCGUCAAAGUCGGAGAUAUACUCACGAACAGGUUGUGAGCUACGGGUCAUAAACUAGUACCUAAAAACAAAGAAAACAAAACAAAUCAGCAACUUAAACAGAAACUUAAACAAAAUACAAUAAUUCGAAAGAAAACAAUCCAAGAGAUUAGCAAAGUUGCUAAUCCCCGGCAACGGCGCCAAAAUUUGAUGUGAAAAAUAAGUUAACACACAAAAUUAAACCCUCUUUUUAUCAAAUGUAGUAAAGUAUGUAAGUAGGGAUCGUUCUAGGCCGGGGAUUAGGAGGGAUUGCUAAACACUUGAAAACUGACUUAAAAACAUAAACACAAAAUUUAAAAAACACUAAACUAGACUCAAAGAAUGCAAAACUAUACUUUAAAAUACUUAAACAAACAUAAAACUCAAAACAGCAACCUAAUGACUCAAAACCGCCUAAAAACCACUUUCUGGGCAGUUUUGAGAACCUAACAAGAACUUGGACGAAGUUGGAUGAAAACUUGAAUCAAAAACACUUAGAAACACAAAUCAAAACACUUUCUAACUAAUCUAAGACUUCAAAAUAAAGGGGGAUUUGUUUUGGACGAAAAUUGAAAACAAAACAGAAACUUUAAAACAAAACAGAUUGUAAAACGUUUUUGGAUGAAAAGGAUGGAUAAAAGGCUAGUUAGGAGGUUCUUCUCCACACAUGACACACUUGCAAACAAAAUGAUUUUCAGUUGUUCUUUCAAUAAAUUAUGAAACUCAACACCCCAAGUUAAUUAGAUACGCUUAAAUUAACCUUCAAGUUCUCCUUAAGUUAAUGAAUUGGAUGGAAAAGCGCAUACAACAAUUCAAAGCAUUCCUCAAAGGUUCCUUACGUGAUGAGCACAAUAAAGAUACAAUCAAGAAUCAUGAAGCACAAUGAGAACUAUAAGUGUUGACGAGGCAUUCGUACUAUGAUGAGCAUGAAACUAGUGCCAAGAAUUCAUUCAACGCGAUCGUUUUCAAGCGACCUUCACUACUUGUAAUUAUAAGAUUGUAACUAUUAGGUGAAACUCCCUCAUAAUCUAGCAUCAUAUUCAUGCAUGAAAACUAAGCGUGCACUCUCAAUCAACAUACACAAAUAAGUUAUCAAUCAAGUAGAUGAACGAAUUGAAUCCGCAACUUAUGAAAUAACAACUGAAUGUAAUCAAAUCAUAUUGCAAGCAUGUACAUGGUUUCGAAUCACCCCCCAACUAAGGGGGUUUAGUUCCUCAUUCUUGCAAUACAAAGAUACAUAAAAUUAGACAUUAAAAUCAAAGGUAAGAAAACACCUAAAAUGCUCCAACUUGGAAAGCAAGUGCAUCAAUGGAUCUCCCUUCCUCCUUGUUGCGGCAUGAAGCUUGUGGACAGAUUUUUGGGUGGAUUUAUGGUGUAGAAUGGAUGGGGAAUGAUAUGGAGGGGUUUAGGGUGAGUGUGGAAGAGUGUUUGAUGGUUGGAAGGUGGUGGAGAACUAGGCAAAGAGGGUGGAAGAAGGUGGAGUGGUGAUUAUGUUUUCUAGGCACUAGAAUGGUGUUUUUGGGGUGUUUUGCUUCCUAGGGUGUGUAUGGACGAAUUUCUGUGAUAAAAUGAUGAAUAUGGGGGAUUGUUCUUUGGCCAAGGGGUGUAAACAUGUAUUUAUAGGCCCCAAAAACCUUAGAAAAUAAGGUUAGGUUAAGGAUGAAAUGCAUGGCAAUUUGUGUGUGUGGUGUGCAAUGGUCCAAGGGUGAAAAUGAAGUAAUGAUGCAAAGUGUGAAGGGUAAAAUGGAGUGGUGUUGUAGCUAGGGAGCAUGAAUGAUUGUGUACAUUGCAUAGAGAUGGAAAUGGAGGUGAAAUGUGUCAACAAAUGGGUCAAAGGUGCAACAACAUGUGUUGCACAUGGCAUUGGAUUCCAAAUGUGAAUGAUGGAGCAUCAAUUGGUGCAUGUAAUGGAUGUAAAGGUUGUCUAAAAUCUAAUGGUGUGAAGGGAACAAGAGGUAUCAAGCAAUUGAGUGAAAUAAUUAAAUGAAUUAAAGCAUGAAAUCAGAAAUUAUGUAGGGGACAAGAGUGAUCAAGCAUGGCAUGGAAUCCAAAGGGAAUUCUAUGUGGUUUGCAUGGCAAGGAAUGCAAGUUGGGGUGACAGAUUUUUGGGCUGUUUUCUUCAUCUUUUGGACCAUAAUUCUUCAUAUUCUUGGCCUCUUUAGUUCUCAAAUUCGUCCAUCCACUUGGCCCAUGCAUUUGCUAUCCAUUCCAAGCCCGAAACAUGCUCCAAAGGCCUCCAAAAUGCAUCUUCUUGCAUACUUUGUACUUAGAGUCUUUCACUUUGCAAGUGGGCUUCUUUGCAUGUGUAUGAGUUGUCAUUGUUUAUCCUUGCAAUUACACACACACACUUGCACACACAUAUGCCCAAAACGUCCAUCCUCAUGCAUGCAAUCCAUUUGAGCCCAAUAUUGAUCCAACAUGCACCAAAAUGCACUUUUCUUGCCAAGGUUGUUAUUAAGACCUACAAACAAAUGAAAAUGGCUUUAAACACUAAAAUAACUAAAGAAACACAACGUAAACACACAAGAACAAGCCAAUUAAGUCGCAUAAAUAUGCUCCUAUCAAAUAGCAUCAUGUAUCGGUGGCAUAAAAAUCUUUACUUCUAGAUGUUGGCACAUGAUCAUGUUGUGCUAGGAUAACACCAAAACCAAUUGGAACCAACUCAAGCUAACCCACAGGAAAUAUAUCAAAUGGAAUGCAAGAACAAAAUAUAAAAGACACCAAGAUUUUAACGAGGUUCCUCAACAGUCAGUGUAACUGGAGUACGUAUUCGGAGCAGUAGCAGCUCAUCCAAUAAUCCACUAUCAACCAAAUGAGAGUUUACAAAGUGUUGGCAAUCUCACAACCUAAAACCCCAAUACACCCAAUAACUUUCACUCACCAAAGAAACAAAUAGAGAGGGAAAUAUAGUGAAUAAUUUCCUCUCUAUACAAAAGCUCAAAACUAAUACACAAAUACAACUUUGAUUGAGUGAGUACCAACAAAGAAAGAAAAUCACCUUUCUUUCUUCUCUUCAAAAUGGGGCUGCAGCACCUCUAUUUUUGCUCUCUAUUUUCUGCUGCGUUUUUCUGCUCUAUGGCUGCCUUACAACCUUUAAUCAAAAGCAGCAAUUACUUCCAAUUAAAACCCUCAGCCGCGGCUUUUCAUAGGCCAAAUAAAAAAAAAAAUUUCUCCAACAUCAUAAUUGCCAUCAUCACAAAGCAAGGAACAUCAUAAUUGAUGUCUCCCUUUUUUCCUUUUUUUAUUAGCCAAAAGAUAUCUAGUAAUUUGGCCAUUUUUUCUUUUGCUUUGUUUAAUAGCUGAAAGUUAAUGCUGAGUUGGCCACUUGGCCACAAUUCAACAAUCUCCACCUUGGCCAAGUUCCGAAAGCGCGAUGAUAAGUCAACCAACACAAUUGACACAAAAAAUCACUCCCAAACACUAGCAAGAGAACAACUCAUGCCGAGCUAAAUGCUCCAAAACUCCUACUGCUCAACGCAUAAUGUGAGCCAAGUUCAAACAGUGAACAAACUUGGCUACACCAACAACCUUAGUCAACAUAUCAGCGGGGUUGUCUUUAGUUGGAAUCUUCUGGAGAAUAAUCUCUCAUUCACCAACGACUUCACGAACAAAGUGAUUGCACACAUCUAUGUGCUUGGUCCUUGCAUGAUGAACCUGAUACUUAGCCAAAUAAAUGGCACUCUGACUAUCACAAUGUACCUCCACCUGCUUCUGAUCAACCCCCAAAUCUCUAAUCAGCCCAUGUAUCCAAAUGACCUCCUUUAUAGCUUCAACAACUGCCAUAUAUUCAGCUUCUGUAGUAGACAAGGCAACAGACGACUGCAAAAUGGACCUCCAACAAACUGGUCCUUUAGCCAUAGUAAACACAUAGCCUGUAGUAGACUUCCUUCUAUCCAGAUCACCUGCAUAAUCUAAAUCAACAUAACCAACUGCAAAAUGACCAAUACCAGAAUCAUCUCUCUCAAAGCAUAAACCAACAUCUCGAGUACCAUGGAGAUACCUUAAUAUCCACUUUGCUGCUUGCCAAUGCUCUUUACCUGGAUUAUGCAUAUAUCGACUUACCAUGCCAACUGCAUGAGCAAUAUCCGGUCUAGAGCAUACCAUUGCAUACAUCAAACUACCAACCAAAUUUGCAUAUGGUAUAUUUUUCAUUUGCAGCUUCUCUUUAUCAGUUUUAGGAUAUUGUAGAGAACUCAAUUUAAAAUGAGGAGCCGAAGGGGUACUAACCGGUUUGGUUGAAUCAUGAACUCCAAACUUCCGAAUCAACUUCUCAAGGUAUUGUCUUUGAUUCAAACUGACCAAACUCUUCGCUCUAUCUCUAGUGAUCAUCAUGCCAAGGAUCUUCUUCGCUUCACCAAUAUCCUUCAUCUCAAACUCAUUCUUCAUUUGCUUCUUCAAAUUUUCAAUCUCUUCAACAUUCUUUGAGGCGAUUAACAUAUCAUCAACAUAUAUCAACAAAUAAAUGAAAGACCCAUCUUGCAACUUCUUGAAGUACACACAAUGAUCAUAUUGACUUCUAGAAUAAUUUUGGCCUCUCAUAAAUUUAUCAAACCUCAAAUACCAUUGCCUUGGAGAUUGCUUCAAGCCAUAAAGUGAUUUCUUCAAUUUGCAAAACAAAUUCUCCUUCCCUUUCACUAUAUACCCAUCCGGUUGACACGUAUAAAUCUCUUCAUUCAAAUCACCAUGUAGGAAAACCGUCUUCACAUCAAGUUGCACAAGCUCAAGAUCAUACUGUGUAACAAGAGCUAACAUAAUGCGAAUUGAGGAGUGCUUCACAACCGGAGAAAAGAUUUCAUUGUAGUCAAUUCCCUCCUUUUGUGCAUACCCUUUAGCAACUAAUCUUGCUUUGAAUCUCACAUUGCUUUUCUCAUCAGCAUCUUCCUUCUUGGCAUACACCCAUUUGCAACCGAUAGCUUUCUUGCCCUUAGGCAAUUUAGCAAACUCCCAAGUCUUGUUCUUCAAGAGAGAAUUCAUCUCAUCACCCAUGACAUUGCACCACCUCUCAUUUUCUUCACUCUCAAUAGCUUCCUCAAAAUUGGAUGGAAUCUCAUCAGUGAUAAUAGGAAGAGCAAAAGAAACAUAGUCACUAUACCGAGCUGGCUUGGUAAUUUGUCUAUUUCCUCUGUUCUUGGCAAUAGACUCUUGAGGUGAAACUUGCUUUUCAACUUGAAUAAAAUCUUCAAGUUCAAUUUCUUCAACAUCCUCAUGGUCUCCAACCUCUUCACUUGUAGUGGCUUCGACAUCAGUGGAAAUAUGGUUUGAAGUAUCGGAGGCAACUUUCUCAAGCUCCACCUGUUGGACAUCUUUCACAUUCUUCUCAGAGCCUUUGUACAUACUUUCUUCAUCAAAUGUCACAUCUCUGCUGAUAACAAGUUUUUUCAUCUCUGGGCACCACAACCUGUAACCUUUGACACCACUACUAAAACAAAAAAAGAUAGCCUUUUUGGCUCUAGGAUCAAGUUUAUUUUCAGUCACAUGAAAAUAAGCAGGUGAACCAAAAAUACGGAUAUAGUCAUAAUCAGAAGAAGGUUUUCCAGUCCAUACCUUCAUUGGUGUCUUACCCUGAACAGCAGCUGAGGGUAACCGGUUGAUGAUGUGACAUGCAUAAUUAACUGCCUCUACCCAAAAUGACUUGCUUAAACCCCGACUGAGACAACAUACAUCUAGUCUUCUCAAGCAAGGUUCGAUUCAAUCUUUUUGCAGCUCUAUUUUGUUGUGGAGUUCCCCGAACACUAAAAUGUCUCACAAUCCCUUCCUCUUUGCAAACUUUAAAGAAAGGGUCGGAUGUGUAUUCACCACCAUUAUCCGAUCUCAAAAUCUUAAUCUUUCUCCCAAUCUGGUUCUCAACCAUUUUCUUCUAACCCAAGAACAUGCUCAACACCUCACUCGUGUGCUUCAUAGUGUAGACCCAAGACCUUCUUAAAUAAUCAUCAACAAAGGUCACGAACCAAUGUCUACCACUCAAAGAGGGAGUCUUUGUAGGACCCCAAACAUCUGAAUGCACAUAAUCAAGAAUGCCCUUCGUCUGAUGUACUGCAGUACCAAACUUUACUCUAGUUUGCUUUCCUAAGAUACAAUGCUCGUAGAAAUCAAGUUUACAAGUUGUGGCACCUUUUAGAAGACCUUGUUUCACAAGUCCUUGUAGAGCUUUCUCACCGGCAUGACCUAAUCUCAUAUGCCACAGUCUAGUAGUAUCUGAAUCAGAUGUGCCUAUAUUUUCUGUGACUACAGACGAUUCACCUGUCACGGUGCUUCCUUGCAAUAAAUCCAAAUGACCACAUCGAGGAGCUUUCAUCACAACAAGUGCACCAUAGGUAACUUUCAAUGUCUGCCCAUUUGAAUGAAACCUGAAGCCCUUGGAUUCUGAAGUUCCCAAAGAAAUAAGAUUUUUCUUCAAAUUCGGUACAUACCGAACACUUGUCAACUCUUUAACCAUGCCAUCAUACAACUUCAAACGAACUGUACCAAUCCCUUUUGUUGUGCAAGGAUUGUCAUCUCCCAUGAACAUAACACCACCAUCAAACUCUUUCAAGCUUGAAAACCAAUAUUUGUGAGGAGUCAUAUGAUGAGUACAACCCGUAUCCAACCCACUUAGUUGCACAAUCAAAUGAUGAGGAAGUGGUUAAAGCAAAAUCAAAAAAAUCUGUUUCAACCUCAGCAACAUUGGCUUCAGAACUUUCUUUUCCUUUGGUCUUUAGCUUAGGACAAUCUUUCUUCCAAUGACCCUUAUUAUGACAAAAGGCACAUUCAUCACGUUCCAAGGUUUUUCUACCUUUAGAGUUUCCACUAGGUCGAGAGUGUGAUUUUUUUCUACUAGUAAAUGACCUCCUCUCUGAUGAUCUACCUCUAACAAAUAAAGCUUCAGAGGUACUAUUAUGAUUUUUAUCUCUAUACCUCAUUUCAUAAUUCAUUAAGGUAUUUGACACAUCUUCAAAUUUCACAGUUUCUUUACCAUGCAUAAUAGUGGUAACAAAAUGCUCAUAAGAGUCCGGCAAGGAAUUCAACAAUAUUAAGGCCUUAUCUUCAUCCUUAAUAUCCUCAUCUAAAUUUAACAAGUUGGCAAUCAACUUAUUAAAAACAUCAAGGUGUCUAAUCAUUUUUGUACCUUCUUUGUAUUGGAAGCGGUAGAGCUUUUUCUUUGAGUGUAGCCGGUUCUCUGCACUCUUCGUCAUAUACUUGUCUUCCAAUUUUUGCCACAACACACUUGUUACUGUCUCCUGCAUCACAAAAUACUUCUGAGUUUUUGCAAGGCACAAUCGAAUUGAAGAGCAAGCCCACAAAUUUAAUUUCUCCCAUUCCGGCUUCGAGAUAGCUUCCGACUUCUCUCCCAAAGCGGCAAGUAGAUCUUGUUGAGCCAACACAUCUUUGACCUCACAUUGCCACAUCCCGAAGUUGUUUGUGCCAUCAAAUUUUUCCAUUUCGAACUUUGCAUUUUGCACCGUAGUUCUUACAAACCUGGAGCUGCUUCCAAAAUGAUUCUCAUCUUGCCCGUCUGACAUCUUUGGCAACUAAACAGUACCCAAGAGCAACCAGUGCUCUGAUACCAAUUGUUGUGCUAGGAUAACACCAAAUCCAAUUGGAACCAACUUAAGCUAACCCAUAGGAAAUAUAUCAAAUGGAAUGCAAGAACAAAAUAUAAAAGACACCAACAUUUUAACGAGGUUUCUCAACAGUCAGUGUAACUAGAGUACGUUCUCGGAGUAGUAGGAGCUCAUCCAAUAAUCCACUAUCAACCAAAUGGGAGUUUACAAAGUGUUGGCAAUCUCACAACCCAAAACCCCAAUACACCCAAUAACUCUCACUCACCAAAGAAACAAAUGGAGAGGGAAAUAUAGUGAAUAAUUUCCUCUCUAUACAAAGCUCAAAGCUAAUACACAAAUACAACUUUGAUUGAGUGAGUACCAACAAAGAAAGAAAAUUACAUUUCUUUCUUCUCUUCAAAAUGGGGCUGCAGCACCUCUGUUUUUGCUCUCUAUUUUCUGCUGCGUUUUUCUACUCUAUGGCUGCCUUACAACCCUUAAUCAAAAGCAUCAAUUACUUCCAAUUAAAACCCUCAGCCGUGGCUUUUCAUAGGCCAAAUAAAAAAACAAAUUUUUUCCAACAUCAUAAUUGCCAUCAUCACAAAGCAACAUCAUAAUUGAUGUCUCCCUUUUUUCUUUUUUUUUUUAUUAGCCAAAAGAUAUCUAGUAAUUUGUCCAUUUUUUCUUUUGCUUUGUUUAAUAGCCGAAAGGUAAUGCUGAGUUGGCCACUUGGCCACAAUUCAACAGAUCAUGCAUCGAUCGAUAUACGUAUGGACAAUGCAUGCCCUACCAUGCAAAUUAUGCCAAGAACAACAAUCGAUCGAGUGACCAGUGGUGGAAGGGCUAGGAAUAUUAGCAAGCUGCAUUUUCUCACUUCCCACUCACUUGUUUGAGCAUACCGACUAAAUGUGCUUGUUUCUUCUUGACUUGUGGAUAUAUCCAAAGGUCAAUAUGGAUGCAUGGCAUGUGGUGUAGGUUAACAAUUUUUUUUUCCUUGUGACCAGAACACGAGUGGUACACCACUUGUUUUUAUAUAAGUGAUGGGAAAUUUUAUUUUUUAAGUUAUUAACUUUUUAACACACAUAUCACAACAAUUAUAUAGUGACAAGUGGUGUAUCAUUCCGUGUUCCGAUCACACUGAAAAAUCUCUAGUAGGCCAGGAGGUUUUUCUUCUUUUUAAAAGCAGUAUCUCUUGGAAAAGUUAGACAUGGAAUUGAUACCACAAUUAAUAUGCUUUUGUGCCGUCAUUCCCUACAAGGCUACAACCAAAAAUUGCAUGAAGUAAAAAUUACCUUAUUUCGCAACAUUUCUUCAACUGGCUACUGGCUCUCUAGUUUUCAGUUGUCAUCAUGGUCGAAGUACGUAAGCUGGGUCGGAUCAUUUUCUUCUUUGAGCAGAUAUGAUUUAGGACGAUAACCAUCGGGCCGGGAUUACCAUCAAUGAAGGCUAUUGCACAUGUUAUGCACUAAGAAAAGGUUGCAAGCGGUUAUUGGUGUAGAGCUACCGGCUGCCUCAUAGUACAAAUUUUUUAACUUGAACCGCUUAUUUUUUUAAUCAUAAUUUAAGAUUAUAUGUGCAAGAUCAAUGCACUUGGAGAUCAUUCAGUACAUCUAUAUGUAUCAUAAAUGAAUGGCAAGUUUGUUAUGAUAUUAGUUGUUGUCCAAAUUAUCGAUUUGACACAUAUAUAUAGAUGAUUAAACAAUUUUUAAGUUGAUUAUUUAUUUUUUUUGGCAAAGAUAAUAUCAAAUGAUGUUUAAAAGCAUAAAGGGUUUCAAUUAUGAAAUUUGUACGAUAAAAUACCUUAAUGCAAGUGUGUGAAUAAGGUGAUUCACUCAUGCAGUGUGCUCACCAAUUUACACUCGAGUUGAAUUCCCCCUUCAUGCAGUUUAGUACAAUUAGUGUAGACACUUGUAUAAAAAAAAAAACUUUAAACCUAGGUCUAUGGUGGAUAUUUUAUUCAAGUUUGUUUUCUUAUACAAGCGAUACUAAGUGAGAGAGAAUCAAACUCAUGACCUCAACUACAAAAAUGGUGAAUGCUCUUAGCCAAUUGAGUUACAAGUUCUUACUACUUAUACCCAAUUUGUCAUCUAACCAAGCACUAAUUAUAAGGCAUCAACAAUUCCAACGUCCAUUCAGCUAUUUAUACGAUUUUUACAGUGGGCUGAGUCAUCAGUAAUAAGUUGAAUUGUUGACAUCUCAUGAACUGAUUACUAUAAAAUAGUGACUCACAACUAUUAAACUCAUCAUACCACUAUAAAUACAAUGUUAUAAUGUUAUAAGAACAAACUCACCUUAAACCAUUUUGGAACGCCAAACACAAAAUGCCAACUGAUUGAACUCUUAAGUUUUUUUAUUUUUUUUAACAAACAAUAUUAUCUACACUAAAGGGGAAAGGGGUGGGCUUAGUCUCACAAUGGGCUAGCAGUAAUGUGGUUCAAAUUUGCCUUUGGCGAAAAUCGAACUAAGACUUCUCACUUACAAAUGAAAAAGAAUAAUAUUAGACCGUAAUACUAGGUGACAUGAUUCAACUCAAAGUUAAAUAAUACAUUGACCCCAAAUGAGAAACUCAUUAUUCUUUGUCCUUGAAAUAUUGGUUGGACAUCAAUUCUGGCCCAAGCCAAUCUUUCUAAUUAAAUGAUUGGGUUGGAUUGGAACUUCACAAGUCCAACCAAAUCCCACUAGAUCAAAACUACUAUCCAUCCAAUUGACAAACCACUACUACCGACAUGUUAUAAAUUAGCAAAACGCCAACCGUGCAAAGGAUCACUUAGGAGAGGGAAAUCUGCAUUUUCUUCUUCAGAUCAACUUUCCCUAGAAAAUGAAGGAAAAAGGAUGCAGUGCAUAGAUAUGGCAGGAUAUGGAAAAACUUUUCUCUGUAUUUAGAAACAUGUGAUCAACUUUUCCAGGGAAGAAUACUAAUGCAUGUAACGGAAGAUGUAGUGCUUAUCCUAAGCUAUCCAAAAGGAACCUAAAGGCAUGAUGAUAUCAAACUUCAAAGAUUUAAAUUCCUUUAAGGGGUAAUUGGAGCAAUGGUUUAUGAAUAUUAGCUCAAUUAGAGUUUUGGUUCUUGAGCUAAAAAUCCGUGAGUACUAGUCCCAUAACUUGUUAUAAGAUGGAACAGUAUCAUUUUUGCCUAACUCUGUUAGAACUUUCAACCAAAAUAAAGUAAAAGGACAAAAAAUAGAUGAAAAUCUUAACGAAGUUAGCCAAAAGGACAAUUGCUCCACAUUAUAACAAGUUCAUGGAUCAAUACUCACAAAUUUUUAGUUCCGACCAAAACUCCAAUUGGACCAAAAUUUAGGGACGAUUGCUCAAAUUCUCUCUCUCUCUCUCUCUCUCUCUCUCUCUCUCUCUCUCUCUCUCUCUCUCUCUCUCUCUCUCUCUCUCUCUCUCUCUCUCUCUCUCUCUCUCUCUCUCUCUCCAACUACCGUGUGUUCAAGAUAAUGUGAUUCAAAUAUUGUAUCCUAACAUUACUUACACGUCCUAAACAUCAUACUUUUAAGCCCUUCAUUGGUUAAUUAUAAUCAUCCAAUUAAAGUAUCUGGUCGGCAGUUUUGACAAAAAAAAAAAAAUAUGUAUCUGGUCGGCAGAGCUGAAAGGAAGGGAUUAUUCAGUACCUAACUUGAUGCCAUCUUUAUCCAAUUAAUUAACUAAACGAAGUAAUUAGCAUAUGUUUGUAAGAACAAAUAAGAAGCCUGAGGAAUCCUCAGGUUGAUAUUUUUCAUAACAACGCUACACCGAUUGACCAUGUGGAAUAUCCUUUGCUAGUUGCCAUGUUGAUCACGAGUUAUUCUUUUGAUCCCAAGUACAUUUAAAAAUAAAAUUUAAUCACCUUUAGCACACGUAAGAAUAACUUGAAGUAAUGAGAUCUGUGGUCUUAAAGAAAGUGGUCAAGUUUGCUUAAAUGUAUAAGUUAUUUGUAUUUACUUGUUUUCUUAAGAAAUCUUGACGGUACAAAGGAUAUUUUGUUUAUAAGAAAUGAUAUGUAUCUUAUUCUUGACCCAUGUUUAUUAUCAUACUAGGCUCACCAAUACUUCAUUUUGUUCCAAAUUGAGCAAAACAUUGAACUUUUACACAUAUAAAGUUUAGUAGUGUUUUUUAUUAACACAUUUCAAUUAUAACUAAUCUUACAACCAAGAAAAAUAAUGGUUCCAAAGUUCUUAUAUCUUAUUGCAUUUGGUACCGAUUUCCUUGAAAGAUUUCAGCGAAGACAGGCACACAUGCAAUAUUGUGUAAUCUAGUCUUGUUCUAAACUUUUAAGGAGUCAACUAUUUUAGGUAAACUGGCAUAUCCUCCUAUGAAAGCCCCAGUUGAACCAAAAGAAAGAUUUCCACGGGCUUAGAUUUGGCAAGAUGUGCACUUGGGGUCGAAGUUUCUACCGUCGAAAUGAUGCACCCAUGUGUCAAAAUACAGGGGAGAGGUGUAUACAAUGAAGGGCACAUGGGGACCGAGACAAGUGAUGGGUUUUUUUUAAUUUUUAUUUUUUUUUUGUAACUCACAAGCGAUGGGUUUAGCAUUGAAUCAUUGAUGAAUAAUGCUACACUUACCAUUUAUUUGUAUCAUAUCUCUAAUAAAGAUAUGGUCCGCCAAAAUAUGCGGAUCUCAUCUCUAUUAAAGAGAUUGUAUAAGUAGAUGGUAAGAAUAACAUAAUGAUGCAUGCAAAUCACUGAAAAACAUUCCCCAAUAUAUAGCAUUAUUAAUUCACAUAUUAUAAAAGAUAUAUUACAUACUUAAUAUUUCAUGCACUUAUAAUGUAAAUUAAAAUGGUUAGAUACACGUAUUAUACUAUGAAUGUGUUAUGAAUACAAAAAACUGAAUACAGUCCAACCUUAGCGCUAACUCUAGUUUAUUUUUUCUCUCCUUUUGGGUUUAUAAAUAGCGAGUGAAACCUUCAGUCUCUCCACAUCUGCAAAUCUUCACGUGCCCUUUCCUGCUUCCUAUCUGCCCUCCCUCCAAUUUUAUCUCUGAAGUUGUUGGUUUCUGAAUUCUGAUCGGUAUUCUAGGAACCUUAUCCAAUUUCUGCUUCCGAGUCUUUGACCGUCAAGAGAUAACUAUCAACAACUAUCAAAAAGCGGGAGUUAUAAUCUGUUCGUUGGUUUACAAAACUGAAAGCAGCUUUUUGCAACAUACCAACUUUAGCUUCAGUUUUCUAAUUCAUCACUACUAUGGAGAACAACAAGAAAGUGGGAAGUGGUGGAAGCCAUGUCUCUUCUUCUCCAUCAUCAAGGAAUCUGGACCAUCUCUUUGGUCCCAAAGACUCCUCUUCAUCUUCUUCUUCAUCAUCCUCCUCCGGAUUAUUUGGCUCUCUUUUCCCACCAGUCCCAUCUGUAAGAUUGCAAGAACCUGAUGAAUUCCUUGCAGAGAAUCAGAAGAAGAAAAAGGAGACAAGUUGAACUUCUAGAGAGAGAAACUGAGAAAUGCUUUUGUAUUGACUUUUAUUAACUAACUCAAUUUAACAGUACAAGUUGGUGUUCAUACAAUUUUAUUUGCUUACACAAUAAGUAAUCUAACAGACUAACUAUUACAAUUCUUAAUCCUUUGACAAGUGUCAUCAUUUGAAGCUUCCUCUUGAUCUUGAGUCUUUACACCUUUAGACCAUCAACGGUAUAUGCUUAUUAUUUAUUUAAGAUUAUCAUUUGAUAAUCAUUUCAUUUUCAGUUUCAUUUUUCAAAAAACUGAAAACUUGUUCAGCAAUUGUUUUCAAAGCUGAAAGCUAUUUCUUGAGUUUUUAAAAUUUGACUUAGGUUUUGGUUUUCACACUUUUUUUUUUUUUUUUUUUUUAAACUACAAUGAUUAUCCAACAAAUCCUUGGUAUUGUCAGGUUUUCGAUGCGAGACAUACAUUCGUUAACAAAUUACAAUUUUUUUUUUUUGGUUAACGUGUGGGGUUAGAUGACAAUUGAGUUACAAGCUCUUACUACUUAUAAGCGGUUCUACUUAUACCUCAACUAUAAAGUUUUUACGUAUAUGUAUAUGUGUGUGUCUAUAUAUAUAUAUAUAUGUAUGUAUAUGUGAUUUUUCUUACAACUGCUUUUAUAUAUUAUGAUGUGACAUGUCAUGUUUAACUUUACAAAUAGACUUUUUGUACAUUUUAUGCUUGUAAUAUUAUUUGUGAGCAUAAACUGGUGGCAUGACAUCCUUGUGUUUUAUCUGCUCACUCCCCAAUCCCGACAUUCGUCCACGAUUGACACGUGACAUCACCAAUUAGAUGUAUAUUUAACAUACCCCGCCUCCGGGAUAUGUACAAAGCACAACUCACGAUCCAACUGCGUAGUAAUUUUUCGUACACUUCAUGGCUGCAUCUAACCUCCUUGUUAGAUUGCUUAUGUACCCUAAACAGGGAUCAAGCCAUUUGUAGUUCGUCUUUCACUGCACUUGAACAAUCAUCACAUAAAUCAUUAUGUCUCAACAUAAUACCACGAUUUAGGUAUGCAACAUCUCAAGGAACAUUCGACGAAGCACAAUAAUAUUCUCCAGUCAUCUUGCCAUUCACACACACAUAUGCUUUCAAACACCAUUCAAUAAUCACAACAAUCAAUAACACAUACAAUACAUUGAAAUGUAGGGCUCAAGUGACACUGUUCGGCCGAAGCCUAUAUCUCUGAAGCUGAAAUCGAAUCCAAGUAACCAACAAGUCAAAUGAUGCGAUUUCGGACCACUUAACGAAAUCCAUCAACAUUAGGUUUCGGACCACUCAACGAGCUUGUGGAGUAUAAGGGAUUCCGAACCUCUUAAUGGAAUUCGAUUGGAUACGAUUCCAGACCAUUACUCAACAGAAUUGCUGAGUAGAAUGCAUAACGAAGCACUCAAUGAAACUCAAGCUGGAUACGAUUCCGGACCAUCACCCAAUGGAAUCGCAGAGCAGAAGAGAUUCCAGACCUCUCAAUGGAAUUAGAUUGGAUAGAUUCCGGACCAUCACUCAACGGAAUUGCGGAGUAGAAUGCAUAACGAAGCACUCAAUGAAACUCAAGCUGGAUACGAUUCCGGACCAUCACCCAAUGGAAUCGUAAAGCAGAAGGGAUUUCGGACCUUUCAAUGGAAUCCAAGUGGAUACGAUUCCGGACCAUCACUCAACGAAACCUCAACAAAAACCCAGUUCCGAAUCACUUAACGGAAUCGAAGAAACAAUACAAGAACCAAGUACUUAAUUAGAAAGGGCUGAACGAAACAAGAAGUGAAAUAAGGAAGCAAUAUGUGAAACAAGUGUCGAAGCAACAAACCCCAGGAUAAUGGGUUAAUAGUCCACUACUAGCCCUCACAUUUUAUCACAUCACGCCAAUCAUACAACGCAAUCACAUUUCAAACAUGCAAGUCAAAUCACUUUUCAUAAAUGUUUCCAAUCUAUAGCCAAAUCACAAUUAAGGAUCAUUAAAUGAUGGCUAAGUAUAAAAAUAACAAUUCAAUGAAAAUCACAUAUAUUAUAGUCACUAGUACGUAAAUCGAGACGCACGUCAACCAAGGAAGACAAGUCAACCCGAUGAGCUCACUAAGCUCCAUGAGUUCUCAACAACACUCUAAGAUAAUGACAUGCUAGAAUAACUCAAACUAGUUGACUAAAAGCUUAACCGUCGAUCAAGGUCGAGAGUAGGGUCCACAAUCCUAGAAAUCUAAACUGGAAGAUCUGCUUAUCAGAUUUCUAAUCUGUAACUUCCUACGAGUCUCACUACUCUUCUAGAACAACAUACUAAGAUUUUAUUACGAUCCAUCGGUUGGAUCUCCAUCAAUUUCUAAGAUUAAGUGUCGGUCAAUGUUUGACUUAACAAACUUAGAAAUCCAAUUCGGGAAGAUUCGUAAGUUCCUAUUGUCCUCAAAUAUUAUGAAUAAUACCAUAUUAAAGUUUGGUAACGAUCCAACGGUCGAAUCGUCAAUGCCUAUAAUAACUAAGUGACGACCAACUAGGCAGUCAAUUUCGAAACUAUAUUAAAACAUCGAAAUUUCAAUAAACAGAUGUCGAAUAUGGAAUUGGGGUAUCAAAAUUAGCCUAGGAAGGUCAGGUGGGGUCUCAGCCCACGCGCCGCCGCCAGCCUCCUCGACUCGCCGGAAAAUUCAACUAUUUCAAAAAAUUAUCAAAUUUCACAAAAAUAUAGAUCUUAGUGAGUGGAGCAAGUUUCAUACAUGUGACUAAGGCUAAUUUGGCCUAGAAAAGCUUCAAUUUCUCUCGAACCCGCCAGAAACCCUUGAAUUUGGUGGUUUCGAUCCGUCACCUUCGGUGCUCCGCCGCCCUUACAGUUGUUUGGGCUUUGUUCCAAGCCUCAAGAAGAGUGUUUUGGUGGUGGUAAUUGAAGGAAAACGUUUCACAUUUGGUGGAUUUCGGCCUGGUUCCUCGCGGCACCCACAGUGUAAACCUUCAUGAAAUCACAAUCAAUUUCCAUCGAUUUUAGCUAGAAUUGGAUGUUGUGAAGUGGUGAUGAAUUUUGGUGGUCACGAGAGGUUGAAGAAAGCCAGAAAAUUGGACGGAAAAGCCAUCGGAAUAGUCAUAAAGGGCGAAUCGGGUCACGGGUACAUGGAUCACAGAAGGGGGAAAUCACGUUGGGUGUUUCUCACCCUCUCUCAUUUCUCUCCCUACUUUCCCUUCCCAUUGGCUUCCUUCCUUCCUUUUUUUUUAUUCUUUUCUUUCAAUCCUAGCCAUUCAUCUCUUUCUUUUCUCCAUCACACCCAUCCACGUGGCACUUCCAGAUUAUCUAAACGUUCCAGAUUAUGGUCAAAUGACCAUUUUGCCCAUAAUUUUGUUCGUUAAUAACUCAUUCGUUAUAACUCUAAAUUACGUUCCGUUUACGCUCAUGCGCUCGUAUCGACGAAUGCUAUCCAAAUACAUAAAUUAUGGGCAAAAUUAUGGGCAUCCCCUGAUGCAUGUGAACUACACGGGAUUUCACAGUCACUUAGUUAUUUGUACUAUCGUGGGCCAAGGACUAGCUUCACGUGUAGUUCACAUGCAUCGUUUACAUUCGCUUUGGAUCUAGAGUUAGGUGUCAGCCUGUCAUUUUGUGUGAUGUUUUGGACUCUUAUGUGAUGCGACUAGCGCAACUCAUAUGAUAUAGUACUAGAAUGUAAAACCUACACCCAUUCUGUUUCAUUGUUUGAAUACUCUGCAAUGGACUUGUGUGCCUACAUAAAUUAAUGAGCAUUGAUUUCUUAUAAUAAUGAUUUGAGAUUUGAUGUUGAGAUACCUUGUUGAUGUUUAGAUUUGUGAUGAAGGAUACCUAUUACAUACUAUUAUUAUAAUAUUUUUGGGAAACCAUAUACUUGUUUUAUAGCGAGGGGUUACACUUUUCGAAAAGGUUUUACAAAAUUUUAUUUUCAGGCCCACUCACCCUUGUUUUUCACCCUUCCAGGAUUUUAGUGGUAGAGGUUUCGUGACGACAAGGAUUGUUAGUAAAAGCUGUUACGUAGGAGACUUCUCUUUUCGGUAUAAAUGUCCUUACUCUUAUUUUAUUGCAAUUUAUCUAUGCUCUGACAUCACUUGUGUGAUACGGGUUCAAUCCCGCUCACUUGCGCACUCUAAAAUAGUCACUUUUAUGUUUUAAUUUAUUCACAUUUUUCACAUCACUACACUUUAUGGCUUCGUCACCUUCCAUGUGUCGGCCAAUACAUUGCAAUUCGGGCGUCCAGGUGGACAGUCCGGGUCGGGGUAUAUCAACUAUGUAAGGAACAUUGUUAUCAUGUAAAGGAACCGGAUCCCCUCCUGAGUAAAGGAUCUGGGCCGUUGAAAUUUGAUUCAAUGACUACAAACAGGUGGUCACUCUAAAAGUUAUAAUAAUUGCAGCCGUUAGAUCAAAUUUCAAUGGCCUAUGUGAUUUGCUCAAGAGGCUCAACUUUCUAAGCUCAGAACGGGAUCCGGUUCCUCAUGUAAAUUUUUGUUAUUAAAUGCAUAUGAAUCUUGACAUUUAAUUUUUUUCCAAAUCCCCAUAAGGUAUCUGAAGACAUUUAAUUGAAUGAAAUAAUGUAAAAUAAAUGUAGAUAAUAAGUGAGAGACCCAAAGUAAGUGCUAUUAGGGGUAAUUUAGACAUCCAAAAUAUGCCAAGUCAAACUUAAUUAUGGAUAUUGCUUAGUUGGAGCCUAGUCAUUGAGUUUUUGUUAAAGAAAUUUACCAUGAUGGAUUUUAGUUAAAGAAAAAUGAAUUCCAAUUAGUGUACUCAUAUUUUCAGAUUAAUUUACAACAAUAAGCAUUCAAAAAUUUUGGACUUUGUCUUUACACAGAUUAAGUUCCCCAUCGAUCAUAUGCGCUCACGUAAUUUUAUUUUAAUCGUUCUAUAAUAGAGAAUUAAGUACAUAAAUGUUUGAGGUUGUUUCUCUAUUUGCUUCAUAUUGUAGGGAAUUAUUAUGAACAUAUAUGAUCGCAAGAGUCAAUUGUCUCCUAUAAUACAUGGUACAGACAACACUAAUACACCCUGACCUAGAUAUCGUUCAGUAACAAUAAAACUUAUGAGGUAAGUUUCCCAUCGAUCAUAUGCGCUCACGUAAUUUUAUUUUAAUCGUUCUAUAAUAGAGAAUUAAGUACACAAAUGUUUGAGGUUGUUUCUCUAUUUGCUUCAUAUUGUAGGGAAUUAGUAUGAACAUAUAUGAUCGCAAGAGUCAAUUGUCUCCUAUAAUACAUGGUACAUACAACACUAACACACCCUGACUUGGAUAUUCAUGUGAACAUCACGAUCGCGGCAUUGCUGUGCAACACCUAAAAAUGACGAAAUCAUAGUAUAAAAGUGAUGUGUAAAAAGUACGAAUAAAAGAUUGAAAAUAAAACAAGAAUAAAUGUGUGCAGUAAAAGUGAUGAACUUUAAAUAAACUAAUUAAAUAAAAAUCAUAGCAUCUCAAUAUCUACAAAGAAAGUGUACAACGUAACACGUCUGAAGAUAAUAACUAUAAAAAUACUAAGACUAAUCACUACACGGAUGAGAGAAGAUUAUGCUACCAUGCCUCGACAUCGAGAGCUCCAAAUCUUACUAAAUUUUGGAGGAGCGCAAAAUAGAGAAUGUUGACGGAUACAAAUAAAGAUGUCUAAAUAUUUUUUUUUUUAACAUACUAACACCUCGAUGUAAAAACCCAUAGGAGAGGUACAUGCAUUACCAGCAUGCAAAAGCUACCCUUUGAGUUUAUAUUAAUUUUUUAUCCAUGUAAUCAAACUCGUUGUUAAAUUAAUAAUUAUAUAUUUUAAUGAGAAAGACAUGGCCCAAUUUAGAUUGAGUUUUUCCUCAAAUUUUAAGUAGCUGAUUCAUAAUUUUUCGUGCUUAUGAUAGAAAUUGAUUAUAUUACAUAUAAAUCAUUACGUAAAGAUUAUCCGUAAAAAAAAAAUCAAUCAGGAUUAAGGUUGUUUAAUCAAUCAAUUAUAACAAAUAAAUAAACGGUUCAUUUACUGAAUCCAUCCAUUUAUUUUUAUACAUUCUGGUCGUUAAAUGAUCUCAUAUUUAAGUGACUUUUUUACAAAUAUGAUCUUUACAAGGUAAUUUAUAACAUGAACAAUUUUAAUCAUAAAAAAAAAUUCCGUGAAUUAGCCACAUAAUAAAUUGAGAAGGAAUUCCUUCUCAUCCACUGAAGAGCCAAAUGCAUUUCUAUUUUGAUUUGGGCCUCAAUUCUCAUGUCAAUUACUUUGAUUUGAUAAUACUAUUAGUUGAUAAUUGAAACAAGAGUUAAUUUCAGUUUAUUACUUGAAAGGUUUUUUAUUUUCAACAUUUGGUGUAUUAAGUUUUUUUUAUUCUAGAGUGGUACUUGAAGUCAUAAUUCUGGAACACUUUCAUACAUUUGUUAAAGUUAUUUUUAAAUGAGUCGUUAACGAGUGAUACGAGGUCUACGUGAAUAAUGACAGAAGGCCACGUGUUAAUAUAAGAUCCACAUAAAUAUUAAAAAAAUAAAAAAUUAAUUAUUACUUCGAAAACAACGAACCAGUAACUGAUGGAAUUGGUGAUUUGAACAGGUGCGAAAGAAGAAAGAAAAAGGAAUAAGCAGAGGCCUGGAAAGAAAAGGUAGAAAUAGAGGUCCAAAAGGAAUUGAUUCUUAGAGGGGGUGGGGUGGCGGUGGAAGAUGGUGGGGGUUUUGGGGACUUAAGGAUUUGGUGCAUUGCAGACCUCUAGUAAGCCCUUUUAUGCAAUUCUGCAUCGAGUUGAUGUUGGCUUAGUAAUGGAUUUGGAAUCAGUAAGUCCAUCUAAUGUUCCAGUGACUGCUGCGGGAGCACCGACAUCUUAUAACCUUGCAGCCAAAGCCAUCUCAAAAUUGUAGUCUUUGCUAAGCGGGGAUAUAUCAUUAUUAAAAAAAUAUGGUUUUGGGUUCAACCACCGUCGUCUCUGUCCGCUGGGUUUGGCUAUUCACCGCCGUGAAAUUUGGUAGGUGUGGCUCUCCACCACCGUCUGCUCUAGCUUCUCCGGCCACUGAGUUUGGCUCUCCACCGCCGUCAAAUCUGGUAGGUAGGGCCCGGAGGUUUGAGCUCACGAUGCCGUCCGUCCUCGCUCUAGAAUCGUCCCAGUUCCGAUAUUUUCCUCCACAGUCCAGUGGACCCCAACGCCUUCAAAUUCUCGUUCCUCAAGUCGUCACCAAGGAUGACCGCAGUAAAAUCUAGAAAUGGGUCGGGUGAGGGAGAGGUGGUGAGGGUAUGGAGGGAUCAGGGGAUAAAGGAGGGUUGAGUCGAAAAUGGUGGGAGAGGUGACACGUGGCCGUUCAGUUAUGUUCAUAUGAGAGUCACGUUAGUAGUUAACAGGUGAUUUAACAAUAAUCUUAACAAAUGUAUAAAAGUGUCAUAAAAUUACUUCAGCUACCACUCUGAAAUGAAAAAAAGAAUAAUUUAACAUACCAAAUGUUGAAAACUAAAAACUUCAGAAUAGGACACUGAAAUUAAUACUUGAAACAAACAUUUACUCCUUAUAUAAAGGCACUGAAGAAAAAUCCCACAACACUAUACAUAUAUUUUUAUAGGAAAAGGAUCCUCACCGGAUUCUUUUCUUAGAGAUCCUAGAGAUUCUGUGAUUAUGACCGUUCAUCGUAUAUUGUGCAGUCAUUUUUCGUUAAUUACUAUUUAUAUUUAAUUUCACAAAGAACCUCUAUUUUUAUAAUUAUUUUGGGUAAAUUACACAAAACUACCUAAACUAUAAGUCAAACCACGAUCUCAUAUCUCAUGUUUUAAACAUUACAAUCUCAUACAUCUACUUAUGAAUUCGUUACAAUGUCAGACAUCCGUUAAAUUUUCUGUCAAUUUAGCUGUUAAAUGAUGAUGUGGUAGGAGUGGGCCCGUUCUUAAAAUAAAAAAUUAAUUAAUUAUUAAUUAUUUAACAAUUAAAAUUAAUUAAAAAAACAAAAAAGUUAUCUCUCCCUUCGUCCUCCCUUCCUUUCUCCCCAGAACUCCUUCGUACCUCGGGGCCAAAAUCUCCAAAUUCCCCAAUUUCUCAGCCCAUCAUUGCUAGAGUUUCUGUAAUACCCCGUAUUUAAAAAAAAAUGGUUAUAUAUAUAUAUAUAUGGGUGUAUGUUGGGUAAUUAUUUUUACGUAAUGAUUUUUUUUAUUUAUUUUUAUGCGAGAACCUAUUUUCGGUAUGUAAAAUAGUUUUAAUGUAAAAUCAUUUUUCCUACAAAUUAUUUUUUAAAAAAAACUAGCUAUUUCAUGUUCAAAUGUAAUUAGAGAUAUUUUUAGUUUGAAUUGGAGAAGGGAGAUUAAAUGAGUUUGGUUUGAUUUUCCUCACAAGGGGCCGAGAGUUUGAGGUUGGACUAAGUGAGUAAUUUUGUCUUGAUAUUUUCUCUCAAAGAUGAGGUGGAGAGUUUGUAACAUUAGGAGUUAAUGAUUUGGUGAUUACUCACCACUCUAAAUGUGAAGGUGGAAGUCUAAUCAAGGGUGAGUUGGCAAGUUUGUGUUCAUUAGGAAUCUAAGAGUUAACUGUUUGGUGAUGAUUCUCCUCCAAAGUUUGAAGAGGUGGGAUUCAUAUUCCUUAGAGAUGAACUUGGCCUUGGAUGCUUGUAUCCACCUUGCAUAAUAUUGAUUAACUUCACACAUGUCUCUUUGCCAUUUGAACACAUAUUAGAGCUAAGGCUUUGCUUAACAUUUGUUGUUUGUCUAUUGGACCACAUUUCAUUGUUAAUGAUGAGAACAACACUUGGAGACUUGGUAUUGGAACACGUAUAAUGGAACUACAUUUGGUGACUUGCUAUUCAAACACAUGUGCCAUGAAUCAUGAAGAAAAGAAGCAAAACAAGGUCAAUCUAUACGUAUAGAGCUUCAAAGAGAAGAAAUUCAAGGGAAGGAACACAAACACUCAUUAUAUAAAGGAGGAGGAGAGAGCAUGGAAAAGGGGGAGAAAAGGGGAGCAACAAUUGUCUUUCUCAUAUCAUUGUUUUAUUUUUUCAAGGCUUCUUAGCCAUUGUCAUGUAUUCAUAAAUUCUCAUUACCUAGUGAAAUACAAAUACAAACACAACCCUAUUGGACAUAGCCAAAUUGGUGAACCACUUAAAUCUUGUGUUGUUUAUGCAUUUAUAUUUUGGAGGUCAUUGCCAUAAGAACACUCCCACCAAACCAUAAAAAAUAUCCAUUUAUUUUCCCUUGAGAAUGAUGUACAAAAGUGUGAGACAAAUCUCUGAAAAUACAUGAGACCUUAUCCAACAAAUCUCUCCAUCAAACUACUAUCAUUUUCAUCUAUCAAAAGAAAGAUAUCCAAAACUAGAAAUUCAUCCAGCCUAUUUAAAAGAUCAAAACACCAUCAUCCAUAUAUUAUAUUAUAAUACUUCCUUCAUGAGAGUUCUUCGUCUGUCUCUCUACCAUGAUAUAUAAAAAUGUCAGAAACAUCCAAUGGUGUGAUCGCCCAAUAUGUCUGAAAUACCAACUCAUGUCUCUAAUCCCACAGAAAACUGGACAUCCAUGUUAUGAGCACCAAAACCUCAUUUUUCGUAACUCGAAUCGAAAUACUUCAUUCACAAAAGUUGUUCCUUAUCAUCUCCUCUAUAACAUAUCCAAAAAGCACAACAAUCGAAUCUAUGUGCUGACUUCUUUCCCAGUUCGAAUAGCUGAUUGUUUCAGCUAUAUUAAAGAAGAAGUAGAAGUGGUGGGCUAAAAUAAAAAUAAAGAUUAUGUUUGGAAAGGGAAAAGCUAGAGACAUAAUUUCAUGCCUUGUGUCAUUUGAGACAUAUAUUUCACUCUAACAAUUAUUUUCUCUAACAUGGAUUCUUUUCUAAUAAAAACAGGUCGCCCGACCAAGAUGGACGAGACGAUGAACAAAUAUAUAUGGAGUGGUCCACGAGCAACAUUUUAUACGAUGAAUUAGAGAUUAUUAUUUUGUUAAUAUUAUGAUUAUAUUACCCUUGUUACUAAUCAAUUUGAUUUAUGUUGAAGUUGCAGGCUUGUUAGAUAAAGUGUGAGUAUUGAUAUCUAUGUGAACAUGACAUAUACAUAUGCAUUGCAAAGCAAGAAAAAGAGUUGUGUUGUGUCAAGUGCUCAAUUGUGCAAAGUGUUUAAGUUGUGAGGAUAUGCAAGGGCUAAAGUUUUCCUUGAAUAUAAAAUAAUGAACUGUGUAUAUGUCAGGCGUAGGGUGCAAAGUUUGAGUAUACAUUUGGGCGUCGGGGGAAGUGUCUGUUUAAUAAAGUGGAAAUUGAGAGUUUAAUUAUAAAAAUUGGGUUAAGGGAUGAACGGGAGUUAACUCAUAUUCGAACAUACUCGGAGCCAAGUGGUAUAAGCAUGGUAUGGGACGUGCAGGCUUGGGUGCCUUUGGUAUGUGUUGACGGGAUUAGAAGGGAGCGAGUACUUUCAUACAUCUCAUUGCAUAUAUUUUAUGUAUUUUCAAGAGCUACUUAUUUCAAUUAUUAUUUUAGUUGGUAUUUUUGUUAUGAAUUAAUUUUGUAUACUAAUAUUUGUUACAAUUUAAUUAUUAUUUUGUUAGUAGUUUUUGUUGUGAAUUAAUUUGUGUACUAUAGUUAUUUCGCUGCGUAUUCAAAUAAUUUUUAUGCAAGAUUUUGUCGAUGAAAGGUGUAAUUGUUAUAAUUUUAUUUUAUUUUAUUUUCCACCAUAUCUUGGUUGUAGAAUUUAUUUCUAUAGCUAAGAUAUGACUCACACCCUAGCUCGUGGAUGGUCUUUAUUCGUGAGUCGGGGCGUGACAAUUUCGGCGGCGCUUCUGGCAAAGAAUAGGUUGAGCUCUAAUUGAUCAGAAUUUCUCUUUUACAGAUCGUUGUUUUUGUUACAUUUUGAUCUCGGUUCUUUUUGAUCUUCACCGCAUCUGCAUCUCGUCUAUAAACGGAGAGGAUGAGGUGGUUGGGAGAGAUCGAAUGGUGGUUGAUGGAGAACUACACAACGAGUUAGAGAAUAUGAGAUGGAGAGGUUAACACACAUUGAGGAAACAUAUUGUAAAUUUGUAAUGGUGAGUGGUUGAUCUACAGUCCUGGUAGUGGUGGAAGAACACUGACAUCGGUGAUAAGAAGCUUGAGCUCAUUGAAUACGCAACACCUGAAGCCGACAGGGAGAUCCUGCCAUUAAAAGUGGUGUUGAACCUUCAUGGCUCGACGAAGUGAUCGGCUCAGCAAAGUGAUUCGACCCAAGAUUGGUUCUGGUUUCGAGGCGAUGCAUUGUCAGAGAAUCGAUCUGGAUUCAACUUCGUUCUAGUUUCCAAUGAAGCAUUGGAGGUGGAGAUUCGGUGGAAAUCUUAUGGUUUUCCGAGAAUUAGGUUCUGGGGAACUGGGGAUAGGGAUUCAGUUGCUAGCAGUUAUAAGGUUUACAUAUAAUCUUGCUUGAAAUAAAUUGAAACAAGAAGCUGACUUUGGCCGGAUAUGGAAGUAAUUGAAAAGGAAUAAUUGAAAAGAUCGAGUUAUUAAAGGUUUGGGAGGGUAGGGUACUGGUGUAUAGGUUCUCGGCAAUCACUAAAGAAGGAAGAUAGGUUCUGGGAAAAAUGAGAGUGUUGUAGGCCUAAUUAACUGAGCGAUCUAAGGAAUAGAGAGAGAGGGGGGCCGACAUCAACAAGAGAGAAAGAGAGAGAUUUAAUUCUCAGGUGUGUUCUAUCACCUCCUUAUGCCUUUAUUUAUAGUAGUAGGGUAGGUAGAAUCCUUACCUUAUUAGGAUUACAUCUCUUAAUAGGUAAUCAACUCCUAAUAGGUAACUACAAGAUACUCCUAGAUAUACUAGAAUUUACACAAUCACAUUCCUAAUCCGAUAGGACUGCAACACUCCCCUUUCAGUGUGUAAAUACUCAAACAAAACAUAGCAUUAGGUCUUUAGUAGAUGAGGUAGAACAAUUGAUGAAGUCGUCAACAUAAAGGUGAAUGCGAGUCUCAAACACAAGUAACGUAAGUAUGCAUUGGUAGUAAAACUCACAAAACCUCGCUAUGGUAAAACCCAAGGCUUGGGGAAAACCUAUAGACUAAGGAGAAAAGUGAGAAGUAUGCGUAAUGUCUAAAACAAACGUCAAACAUGAUGAAAGUAGUGAACUCAACGGAGUAUGAUCAUUCUAAGAUGGGUGCCUUGUUAAAACCUCGUUAGGUAGCGAAAACUCAGUGGGAAAAAUGCUCCUAAUUGUAGGAAAAAGAGUACAUUAAGAUCAAGUGAGUAUGCUUCAGGAUACUUCCCUUGAGUUAGACAUAACUUACGAAUAAGACUACAAGUGAUUCAAUUCAGAUCAUUUACGUAUACCAAUUCCUUGGACAAGCUUCUGAAAAAUAGACUUGGGUAGUGACUUCAUGAAGAGUUAGCCAGGUUGUCUUGGGAACGGAUUUACUUGACUUCAAUGUUCUGAUGCUAAUGUUGCUGGUGUGAGUAAAAGAACUUCGGUGUUAUGUGUUUGGUGUUGUUUCCCUUGAUGUAUCCCUUCUUUAACUGCUCUAUACAUGCUGCAUUGUCUUUAAAGAUCGUCGUAGGAAGAUCAACAAUGGAAGAAAGACCAUUAGUGCUUUGAAUAUGAUCUAUAACUGCUUUCAACCAAAAGCACUCUCGCGAGGCUUCAUACAAGUUGAGAAUCUCAUCAUGGUUUGAAAAGUCGCAACUAACGUUUGCUUGGUAGACCUUCAAGAUAUAGCGGUGUCUCCAACGGUAAAGACAUAACCCAUUUGAGAACGUGCCCUAUGUGGGUUAGACAGAUAACCAACAUCUGCGUAACCAACGAGGCGAUAAUUAACUCGAGGACCGAGGGGCAGCGGUUCAUCUCGAGGAUUCAUGGGUAUAGAACAAGCCCAAAUCCUUAGUACCCUUAAGGUAGCGAAAAAUGUCGUUAAUAUUAUUCCAGUAUUUGCGUGUAGGCACGUUGCUGUAUAUGGCCCAAAAAUUAAUAGCAAAUGAGAUGUCAUGUCUAGUGCAUUGAGCCAAGUACAAUAAAGCACCAGUUACAUUUAGGUAUGAAACUUCAGGCUCCAAAAUCUAUUCCUCAUCCUUAUUCGGAUGGAAGGGAUCUCAUUUAGCAGGAGUACUCGAAGGCUUCGCUUUAUCCUCAUUAAGCGACGCAACACCUUCUGGGUAUAGUUCGAUUUAUGUACUACGAUUCCAUCCGAACAAUGUUCGAUCUCCAGGCUGAGACAAUAUCGAGUUUUCCCAAGAUCUUUUAUCUUAAAUUCAGAUUUGAAGUGCAUAGCAAUUUCCUCAAGCUCUGUGGAAGUUUCGAUGAGGUUCAUGUUGUCGACAUAAACUGCAACGAUUGUAAAUCUGGAAUGUGACUUCUUAAUGAGCACGCAUGGGCAUAGUUCAUUGUUCACACAACCUUGACUUGUUAAAUAUUCACUCAGACAGUUAUACCACAUUUGCCCAGAUUGUUUCAAUUCCUAGAGUGACUUUCUCAAUCUAAUCAAGAGAAUGUUAGAACUAUUUGAACCAGUCAAUGGAAGUCUUUUUGGAACUUUCAUGUACAUUUAUGUAUCUAGAUUUCCAUAAUGAUACGCAGUUACCACGUCCAUAAGUUGCAUAUUCAGUUUUUCGGAAACUACCAAACUGAUAAGGUAAUGGAACGUUAUGAUGUCCAUUACGGAGGAAUAUGUCUCCUCGUAAUCAAUCCCAGGACGUUGAGAGAAGCCUUGCGCUACAAGGCGUGCUUUGUAUCGCACUAUUUCAUUAUUCUCAUUACGCUUCCUCAUGAAAACCCACUUGUUGCCUACAUGCUUCACAUGUGAUGGAGUAAGAGCUAUGGGCCCAAACACCUUUCAUUUCGCGAGCGAAUCGAGUUUAACUUGGAUUGCUUGUUUCUAGUUUGACCAAUUUGUUCUACGUCGACAUUCAUCAAUGGAGCGUGGUUCAAUGUCAUUGCUAAGCAUGAUAUCGGAAGCAAUGGUAUACGUGAAUGCAUCAUCGACUGUCAUCUCAUUCUAAUUCCAAACCUCAUUCAAUACAGUGUAAUGGACUGAAAUCUCACGAUUCUCGGGAGGCUGGCAUGUUUCGUCUGAAACAUCAUCCUAAUCUAAAAUAACCUCAUGUGUUGGAAUGGAUGAGUAAGCAAUGGUCAAAUUCAGACUAGGUUCACUAGUUUGUGUCAUUUUCCUUUUUCGGGGUUGUGAAUCGCUUGAACCAGGAGGCCUACCAUGCUUCAGGGUAAGACCAGGUGAUAGGCUAGCCGUCAUUGUACCUUACCGUAUGUGAGGUACGGCCGCUCCACCUUCGGGGAUGGUUUGACCUUCCACGACGUUGUUACAGUGUACGAUUGAUACGUUCAUCCUUGCAGGUGUGUUUAUAGCAGGUAUAUGUGAUCUCGUCACCUUCGCUAGAUCGGUAAAAGCAUCCAGCAUGCUUUGAGCAAUGCUCUGAAGAUCUAGAAUGCGUCGCACUUCAGUUUUAAAUUGAGACGUGCGGUGAUCUAAAUGAGACAUAGUGGGAGUAAUCCAUGAUAAUUUACGACGUUCUACAUGAACGUUAGUGAUCUUAUCUCCCUCUAACGACGAGAAGAUUGUCUUAUUGAAGUGAUAAUCCGUAAAACGUGCGGUAAAGAUAUCUCCUGUCAAGGGUUCUAAGUAGUGUAUAAUGGAUGGCGAAUCAUAACCGACAUAGAUUCCCAUUUUUCUCUGAGGACUCAUUUUGGUAUGUAGUGGCAACACAAUUGGCACAUAAACUGCGCACCCAAACACAUGUAAAUGAGAGAUGUCAAGCUUGUAUCCAGUAACCAACUGUAAUGGUGAAUGAGGUUGGGUAACGGUGAGCCUCAGGCGGACCAACAUAGUUGUGUGCAAUAUUACGUGGCCCUAGGCAGAUACCGGCAAAUUGGUUCUCAUAACCAAAGUAUGAGCUAUCGUUUGAAUGUGCUUUAUGAAAGCUUCUACUAGGCCAUUUUGGGUGUGAACAUGGGGUACAUGAUGUUCAAUUUCAAUCCCAAUGGAAAUCCAAUAAUCAUUAAAGGUUUGUGACGUAAACUCUCCAGCAUUAUCCAGUCGAAUCGACUUUAUCAGAUAAUCAUGAUGGUGAGCCCUUAACUUAAUAAUUAGUGCUAGGAGUUUCGCAAAUGCAGUAUUGCGUAUGGAUAAUAAGUAGACAUGUGACCAUCGUGUUGAUGCAUCAACCAACACCAUAAAUGAUCUAAAUGGUCCGCAUGUUGGUUAGAUAGGUUCAUAAAUAUCCCCUUGAAUUCUUUGAAGAAAUUUAGGGAGGGGUCGUGAAUAAUCUUUAUAAUUGAGGGUUGAAUGUUUAACUUCCCUAAGGAACAUGCUUUGCAAAGCGGAUGGCCGGGAUAAGAUUUCAAGUGAUGCCCAUGAAAUGCUUUGAGGAUAUGACGCAUCAUAUCUCGUCCGGGGUGUCCCAUUCGAUCAUGCCAAAGCAGGAGAGUGUCUUGGAACCCAGCACUAGGGCCGGCCACAUGGUGUGUCUUUACGGCUUGAAUGGUUGUUAUGUAUAACCCACUUGGGAGACAUUCUAGCUUUUUGUGAAUAUGUUUUCAGCCAUAUUCAUAGGAAGUGAUACAAAGAAAUUCAGAACCAUUUUCUUCAGUGGUUUCAACAUGAUAUUGAUUAUCUCAAAUAUCUCUAAAACUCAUCAACGUUCUUCCAGAAUGUGGAGAAUAAAGUGCCUCUUUAAUAGUUAAUUUAGUACCAUUUGACAACAUUAUACGGGCUUUUUCGUAUCCUUCUAUCAGGUUGGAUGGGCCUGAGAGGGUUGUCAGAAGUCCAUUCUUAGGUAUAAAGUUAGUAAAAUAGUGUUUCUCACGCAAUAUGGUGUGUGUAGUUGCAUUAUCUGCCAGACAACUAACUUCCCCACUAGUCAUACCUAGAAAUAAAUUAAUUGAAUCGGGAUGGGGUUCAGCCACUAGCUGUUAAACACCCUAAAGACAUGUCUAAAUUUAUUCUUCCAUAGGAGUAUAUGCCUCCUGAAAAUCUGAAACCUUCAGAGUUGUAGUAGCGCCUUCGGGGAUUUCUACAUGCGGAAAGUUGGACUCACGACGUGAAUGAUACUUGGCAAUGGCCUCAGGGGUAGCUCGUCAUAUGCAUGAUCAAUGAUCCCUUGAUCCACGGCAGUAACACAUGUGAAAUUUAGUGGAAUUUGAUUGAAUUGUAGCUUUUCCCUUGUUCUUGAAGUUUGGGGCCUUCGGGGCAAGGGGUUGGCGCUUCUGGGUCAAGUUUCCUUCCUUGGAUGAACCUCUAUUCGGUGGACCUUAGGCAUGUGGUGGACCUUGCCACCCAUUGCCACGGCCACGACGGAAUCUCCAUUAGUUUUGGCAGUUUGAAGUUGUCGCGUGCGCUUCAGGCGCAAUGUUCGAGCUUGAUGAUUCUUCAUCAAAAGCUGGUUCUAUUUUUCAACAAGAAGUAUAACAGAUAUCAAAUCCAAAAAUUUGGUGAACUUUUAUACCCUAUAUUGUUGUUGCAUGACAAUAUUGGCCACAUUGAAGGUUGAAUAGGUUUUCUUCAGGAGAUCAUGUUCAGUUAAGUCCUCGUUACAGAACUUAAGUAAUGAUCGGAUUUUACAAACUUCAGAGUUGUAUUCAUUCACAGACUUAAAGUCUUGGAAGCGUAAAUUCUAUCAAUUGUGUCUUGUUUCGGGCAAGAAGAUGUAUUUCUGGUGAUCAAAGCAAUCCGCCAUAGUGAGCCAGAGGGUUCGGGGAUCCUCCUCUACGAGGUACUCUGUCUAUAAUGCAUCAUGGAUGUGUCUUCGGAUGAAGAUCAUAGCAAUAACUUUUUAAGCUUCGUCGACGGGUGCAUCCUCGGUUGGUUCCUCAAUGGUAACUCUAAGACUCUUUGCAGUAUGAUGGAGUUCAUGUCUUGAACCCACUUCAGGUAGUUUCUUCCAUAGGCUUCCAAAGCGGUGAAAUCAAGCUUGUUCAAGUUCGACAUGUCCCUAAACAAAGGGUACACCAAAACGUGGUUAGUCGUAUAGACAUAUAUCGUACAACAUUUGGGUUCUAUAGACAUAUAUUGGUUUAAUUUAUGUAUAAAAGCUACAGGUUUCAUGUGGUAAGUUUUGAAUGUUGAUUUAGUUUAUGAACGUUUUUGUUCAUAUAUGAGGGUAUCUGCAAGAACACAUAAUACAAUAUACAAUAAACUGUAGUGGAUUUGUGGAUUGCUUCAAGAACCCAAGCGUGAGUGAUUCAGGACUAUGAAAGAUAGUCAACGGUUCAAAAAGAUGAAAUAAUUUAUUGAAUCGUUAAUACCAAAAAGUGAGCUUUAUGCCAAUAAUUUUGGAUUAAUUAUCAAAUUAGUGGACUGCUGGUCACUUUAAUUAAUUCAAUAGAUUGAAACCAUUCGAGGUCGAUCGUAGAAGCAAAAAUAAUUAUAACAUGUGGGUUAAAAUUAUUUAGAAUGCCAAAAAUCAGCAUUGGGUUCGAAAAAGAAUAGCCCCAAAAAAAUUUAGGAUCGGGUUGACUGUAAUAGGCAGCCCAAAGGUGACAACAGGCCACGGGUUGAGAAGGAAAAGCCUAGCCAUGAAGACUGGCGUGUUGGGUCGGGUCAGACAUGAGGGGCAAGCCUAAAGGCUUGCAAGUAGGCACGUGAAAACCCUAGCCGGGGUUGGGUUUUGGGACUUGGGCUUGGGGAAGUAAGCCCAGCCAUCUGGGCUGGCUAUUUGAUUGCGGGCCGUGGCAUAUAUAAACCCAGCAAGCCAAGGAGGGUGCUGCAGAUGGGCUGGGGCUUUAGGCCCAUGUUUGGGACAAGCCCAUCAUGCUUCUGGCAUACAGGUUUGGGCUCGAAUGGAUCGAGGCUUGCAGGCCCGUGUGACAGACGACCCAAGCUGAAGCUUGGUUGGGUUCGAAAGGUGCAACAAGCCCAGAGGGUUGCGUAGGUGGUCCAAGGCGUCGAGGCCACGCCAUCCCAUGAUGAUCCACAAUUGUCAUGCUCCGACUCGCAAAUAAAGACUAUUCACGAGUUAGGGUGUGAGCCACAUCUUAGCUAUAGAAAUAAAUUCUACAACCAAGAUAUAGUGGAAAAUAAAAUAAAAUUAUAACGAUUACACAAUACAUCAUAUAAAAAAUAAUUAAAGCUUGAGUUUACCACAUAUAAUUUAUUGAAUAUGCAGCGGAAAUAAAUUUAUUAGUAUACAAAAUUAAUUCAUAACAAAAGUACCAACUAAAAUAAUAAUUGAAAUGAAUAGCUCUUGCAAAUACAUAAAAUGUAUGCAAUGAGAUGCAUGAAUGUACUCACUUUCUUCUAAUCCCGUCAACACAUACCUAAGGUACCCAAGCCUGCACGUCUCAUACCAUGCUUAUACCACUUGGCUCCGAGUACGUUAGAUUAUGAGUUAACUCCCGUUCAUCCCUUAAGCCAAUUUUUGUAAUUAAACUCUCAGUUUCCACUUUAUUAAACAGACACUUCCCCUGACGCCCAAAUGUAUAUUCAAGCCCUGCACCCUACGCCUAACAUAUACACGAUUUCAUUAUUUUAUAAUCAACCAAUUUGUAUACUCAAGCCUUGCACCCUACGCUUGACAUAUACAUGGUUCAUUAUUAUUCAAGGCAAACUUCAGCUCUUGAAUAUCCUCACAACUAAAACACUUUACACAAGUGAGCACUUGACACAACAUAACUCUUUUUUCUAGCUUUGCAAUGCAUAUGUAUAUGUCCUGUUCACAUAGAUAUUAUCAAUACUCACAUUUUAUCUAACAAGCCUGCAACUUCAACAUAAAUCAAAUUGAUUAGUAACAAGGGUAAUAUAAUCAUAAUAUUAAGAAAAUAAUAAUCUAUAAUCCAUCAUAUAAAAUGUUGCUCGUUGACCACUCCAUAUAUAUUUGUUCAUCGUCUCGUCCAUCUUGGUCGGGCAACCUGUUUUUAUUAGAAAGGAAAAGACAUCCAUGUUAGAGAAAAUAAUUGUUAGAGUGAAAUAUAUGUCUCAAAAGCCACAAGGCAUGAAAUUAUGUCUCUAGCUUUUCCCUUUCCAAACAUCAUCUUUUAUUUUUAUUUUAGCCCACCACUUUUACUUCUUCUUCUUUAAUAUAAUUGAAACUAUCAGCUGUUCGAACCGAGAUAUAAGUCAACACAUAGAUUGGAUUAUCGUGAUUUUUGGAUAUGUUAUAGAGUAGAUGAUAAGGAACAACUUUUGUGAAAGAAGUGUUUCGAUUGGAGUUACAAAAAAUGGGGUUUUGGUACUCAUAACAUGGCUGUCCAGUUUUCUGCGGGAGUAGAGACUGAGUUGGUAUUUUAAAAAUAUUGGACGAUCACACCGUUGGAUGUUUAUGAAAUUUUGAUAUAUCAUGGUAGAGAAAUAGACGAACAACUCUCAUGAAGGAAGUAUUAUAAUAUAUUAAAUGGAUGAUGGUGUUUUGAUCUGUUAAAUAGGCUGUACGAAUUUCUAGUUUUGGAUAUCUUUCUUUUGAUAGAUGAAAAUGAUAGUAGUUUGAUGGAGAGAUUUGUUGGGUAAGGUCUCAUGUAUUUUUCUGGGAUUUGUCUCACACUUCUUGUACAUCAUUCUAAAGGGAAAUAAAUGAAGAUUUUUGAUGGUUUGGUGGAAGUGCUUCUCAUGUCAAUGAACUCAAAAUGUAAACGGAUAAACACACAAGAUUUAAGUGGUUCGCCAAAUCGACUACAUCCACUGGGGUUUGCUUUCAUUGUAUUUCACUAGAUAUAUAUAAGGGACUUACAAAUACAAAGAAAGAUGGCUUAAAGCCCUAACAAUAUGUAAAAAAAGGUAAUUGGGUAAUAUGAAAGGGAGGAUGGCUUUUUAUUGGAGUUGUUCCUUUUCUUCUUCUUCUCCCUCUCUCUUCUCUCUAUCUCUUUCGUUUGGUGAGUGCUCCUUCCUUUAUAGAGAUUGUAUUGCAUCUUCCUCUCCAAAGAAUCUCCACAAGUAUGCCAAUAGAAAGAAAGCAAGUGUUGUGCUAAUCAUUACCAUGAAAUGUGUUCCAAUCACAAAGCAACAAUUGUUGUCCUAAUCUAUAGCAAUGAUAUGUGUUCCAAUACCAAGUCACCAAGUGUUGUUCUCAUCAUUAACUAUGAAAUGUGGUCCAAUAGACAAACAACAAAUGUUAAGCAAAACCUUAGCUCUAAUAUGUGUUCAAAUGGCAAAGAGACAUGUGUGAAGUUAAUCAAUAUUAUGGAAGGUGGAUGCAAGCAUCCAAGGCCACAUUCAUCUCCAAGGAAUAUGCAUCCCACCCGUUCUCACCUCAUUGGAAAAUUUGGAAUGAUAGAUUGAAGCAUUGAAGAGAAAAUAUAGAAAAUUAAUUGAAAUUCCCCUAGGCUAGUGAGUAAGCACUGUAAAACAACAACAUAUUGCCACAUGCAUGCCAAUACAUACACAUACCUAGUCUAUGGCUCUAAAUAGACUCACACCUCUCCAAUGUUUAGAGGUGAGUAAUCUCUCUAUAUUAACUCAACUUGCCAACUCACUCCUAAUUGGUAAAAAUAUCAAACCAAACUCAACACUUAGCCACACGUAUAAGCCAAAGGCUUCCCACCUCCACACCCUAAUUAUAAGCUUCUAUUAAUUACCAACUUCCACCUUAACCCAUCUAGAGUGGUGACUAACCCCUCCUCUUUAUUCUCUAAUGAUUGGGAAAACUCUACUUAGCCUUUGUGAGAAAAUAAAGUCAAACUCAUGCACUUAGACACAUGCACGUAUGCUAUAUAGACUUCCACUCUAAUUAUUAACUCCUAAUGUUACAAACUCUCCACCUCAUAUUUGAGGGAAAAUAACAAAACAUAACUACUCAUUUAGUCCAACCUCAAACUCUUGGCCAUUUGUGAGGAAAAUCAAACCAAACUAAUUUAAUCUCCCUUCCCCAAUUCAAACUAAAAAUAUCUCUAAUUACAUAUGAACAUGAAAUAGCUAGUUUUUUUAAAAUAAUUUGUAGGAAAAAGGGUUUUACAUACCGAAAAUAGGUUCUUGCAUAAAAUAAAUCUAAUAAAAUCAUUACAUAAAAAUAAUUACCCAACAUACACCCAUAUAUAUAUAACCAUUUUUUUUAAAUACGGGGUAUUACAAAAGUGGUGCCGCAACUUUUCCUUUUUUUCAUUUUUUUUAAUUUUUUUUAAUUUUUCGAAUUCUAGGGUUAAAAACCCUAAUUGCUUCUAAAUUAAUUUCAAUUCUUUGACUCAUUAUUCCACAUAGCAUAUAUGCAUAAUGCAUGAACAAUUAUAUAUAUUGACAAAAUAUAUGAACAUAUGUACGAUAUAUAUAAUUGGAAGGAAAAUAUAAAUAUAGAGGGUUCAUGCAUCAUGGGGAAUGUUUUCAUACUUCAAGGUUUUUUCAAAUAUCUUAAUUUAUUUUAAAAGAACCUGAUUGGCAGAAAACGAUUGAGAGCCUUUGAAUUUGUAGAAGAUAGCCUCCUUCUACGAUCCUUCGGUUCCUUAGCUCUGGCAAGAGCGUGAUGAUAACAUGUUGUAGGCCUAAUUAACUGAGCGAUCUAAGGAAUAGAGAGAGAGGGGGGCCAACGACAACAAGAGAGAAAGAGAGAGAGAUUGAAUUAUCAGGUGUGUGUUGUAUCACCCCCUUAUGCCUUUAUUUAUAGCAGUAUGAAGGGUAGAAUCCUUACCCUAUUAGGAUUACAUCUAUUAAUAGGUAAUCAAUUCCUAAUAGGUAAUCAAUUCCUAAUAGGUAACUACAAGAUACUUCUAGAUAUACUAAAAUUUACACAAUCACAUUUCUAAUCCAAUAGGACUUCAACAAUGAGAUAUUUUUUAAUUAUUAAUAAAAACUUAAUAAUGUAUUAAUAAUUAAUUAUUUAUUCAAUUAAUUAUAAUUAUUAAAUAAAAAAUUAUUAAUUUAUUAUUAAUUAAUUAAUUUUUUAUUCUAAUUGACAAAGGGGUGGGCCCCGCUCCUACUACAUCAUUAUUUAAUAGCUAAAUUGACAUAAAAUGUAACGGAGGUCUGAAAUUGCAACGAAUUAAUACAUUGAGGUAUGAUAUUGCAAUAUUUAAAACAUGAGGUAUGAGAUUGUGAUUUGACCUAUAGUAAAGGUAGUUUUAUGUAAUUUACCCAAUUAUUUUACUGUUUCUAUUUUGAUAAAUUAUAUUGAUAAAGUAAAAGAUUAUAACAAGAGUAAAUUGUAACAAUAGUCUCUCAAUUUUAAUUAAAUUAGAGUAAUGGUCCCUCAACUAAAAAUUCAUUACCAUUGGUUCCUUAACUCAUCAAAACGUAUAGUUAUAGUCCUUUUCGUAUACUCCGUUAGAAUUCUGUCACAAUGAGUUAUGUUGGAAUGAUCAUUGCUAAAAUUGGGUUAAAGUUGAGGAACCAUUUCUUUAGUUGAAUUAAAAUUGAGGGACCAUUGAUACAAUUUUUCUUUCUUGAUCUUUCAUAUUUGCCCCUUGAUUUAGCCUCACAUGAAUGACACGUUACUCAUUUUAACAAAAAUGUUCUAAUGGAGUUGAUGAAAAUGACCAUAGCUGCAUGUUUUGAUGAAUUAAGGGACUAAUGAUAAUGAAUUUUUAGUUAAGUGACCAUUGCUCUAAUUAAGUUAAAAUUGAAAAACAAUUGCUACAAUUUACUCUUGCACCUAGGAGGGUUAAAAAGUCAACUCAUAUCAUAGAGAAUUAGGCAAAGGGUUGCUAUACACGAGAACCUAGACUGCGAUGCUAAUGCAACCUACUCUUUUUCCCACUUAAGAGUAAUAUGGGAAACUCGAAUUUUACCGUUGUCUUUUUCUCUUUUCUUUUUUAAAUUUUAUUAUUAUUAAAUGGAUGGGGUAAAAUUGGAAACUAAUUAAAUAAUUAAAGGAAGACGAGAGUUUUGAACUGAAAUAAAAUUCUAACACUAAAAUAUUAAAUCACAUAUCCACUAAAAUAUUAAAUCACAUGUAAAUUUUACCUUUAUCUCUACUAUGGGAAAGUGGUGUGGACCAAAGAUGCUCCCACCUCUAUAUGGAAAGGAGCAUAUAGGAGAGCUUGUGUCUAAAAGUGUUUUUCUCUUUCAUUAUUGAAAUGAGAGCACUAGCGAGUAACGAGUGCUUUUAAGAUAUUGAAUUACUUUUUAUAUUAUCAAUUAGUUUUAAGGUAUAAUUUAAAUUUUUUCAUGGUAUCAGCAAGUUGACUCAUGUGUGAAAUCCAACAGCUACAUAUGCUUCAUGUCACUCAAUUAGUGUUUUCUAAGUGGUUGGCUUGAAAAUUCGUCAUACACGAGGGAGGAUGUGAGAAUGUGAAGGUAAAAAAGUUACACAUCAGUGGAAGGAGAAAUUUUGUAAGGACUUAUAAGAGGUUGAUUUGCAUCUCAUAUUACAAAUUAAUUUUAUGAUAAAAUCUCAACUUUCUUCAUUUAUUUCUUGAAAACAUGAUUAAUCAAGUAAUUAUUUAGCGAUCGAUGGGACACAAAUGGAGAACCAAUUCCGUAGAAAUGUAGUCCUUUCACAUUUGAGGAGAUGUCAAUUAUUGUUGCUGCAUGAUUUCAAAUGUCAAUUAUUGUUGCUGCAUGAUUUGAGAUGUUUCCACUCCCUUGCUUCCCUCAAUACUCCCUUAAGCAAGAGGCUGAGGAGUUUUUUUUUUUUUUUUUCAAACAAACGAUAUUGUUUAUAUUAAAGAAAAUAAAGUAGGUUUAAUCUCAUAAUAGGCUAACAAUAAUGUGGUUCAAAUUCGCCUUUGCGAUAAUCAAACAUAAGAUAUCUCACUUACAAGUAAAGAAAAAUAUCACUAGACCGUAGUACUAAUUGACUUGAGAAUUCAUUUUAUAACAACAAGAUAUUAUUAAGAAAAUGUAUUGUAAAAUUAUUUAACGAUUUCUUAUAAAAACACGUGAUAUGGCCCUAGCAUUAUUAAAAAUUUGAAAAUAAUUUUCACACACUUAUUUUAAUUUUUUUAUCCAAUGAUUAAAAUUCAAGAAAAACAUAAAUGCACGACAAACAUAAAGGUGUGGAAAUCAUUUUUUCGGUGAAAGCACUAUCAGAAAUAGUCAAAUACCCCAAAAUAUGUUCAAAUACUCCAAAAAUAAAGGAUAAAGUAUAACAACACUUCUUGCGAAAGGCGUUAAUCGGAAUAAAGUAUGGUCUUUCAAAUGGGCAUCCAACUUUAAAAAAGUGUGAUAAUUGUAGGGGCAUAGUGUAAAGUGAAUAGAGUAUUGCUAUGACUAAUAGUUUACUAAUCAUGCGGAUUCGGAUCCUCUACUCGGUUUUAUUGUAUUUGUUGUUUGUUAAUUAUCACUGCACAUCACAAUUCAAAAGUGCUUGAGCAGAAGAGUGGUGGAUUUUUCAUUUUUAGUAUGUGGAAACAAAAAAAAUUUGGAACACAUAAAUUGCAACAUGUGAAAUACAUUUGAAAUAAAAAAAUAAAACAUAAAAACCUCAAGCGUACGAAGAGGAGUUUUAUUGAAUUCCUAACCAUUUUUUUCAUCUUGUUUUAAAGAGUCGUAAUUUCAAUUUUUUUUUAAAAAUUAAGAUGGUUUAAUCAAUUGUCAAUUCAGCAUUUUUGUAUUUAUUUAAUAUACAUCCACAUAAGCAAGCUACGACCAUCUCCAAAGGAGAUGUCAAAUUUUGAACAUAAAAUUUAAAUUUGACAGCCUACAUGGCACUUUGACAUAUUAACGUUUCACUCUCCACUCGAUAUGUCAAAUUAAAUUAUUAUUUUAUUACAUUAUUUUGUAUUCUUAAUUUUUGUUCUAUAUUUUAAAUUUUACACAUAUAAAUCAUUCAUGAUAAGUGAAACCCAACAAAUAACUUUUUUUUGGUUGAACACUAAUAAGGACAUGAUCCUCAUCUUUGUUGAACGAAUAACUUUUUUCUUGCUUCCAAACGCUGAAUUAAAGGAUGAGGCGAAAAAAAUUCGAGGCAUGUUCACUGUAUGAAGUUCUUUGUUGAACCCAGCACCACGAAUAACUUUUUUCUUGCUUCCAGACAACACACAAACUAUCAAGGACACACUUGAUAAGCUAUGACACUCACUUUCUAGAAAGACAAACUCUAGACCACUCUUGCUUCUCACUCUCUUACUUAGCUCUCUUCUUGGCUACUUUCUUCUUUGAUUGAUUGAUACAAAUGGUGUGGAUGACUUCUCCUUUUAUAGGCAUGGAUGGAACCUUGGAGAAGCAUGGAAACAUCAUGCUAGAGAUAUCUAGAUAAUUCCACUACCUUCCUAAGCUAGAAUUAUCUACACUAAUCUUGUAUGUUGGUGGAAUCCUCACCAUUCUUCUAAACUCUUCCACCAACUUGAACUUUGCUAGAAUUCUCCAACAUGUGUAUAGAUCUUUCUUUGUCUAUAGGCUGGAUCCAUCUUGGGCCAAGGCAAGAUUACACUUCAACACAAACUCUAAUUGGGCUGGUGUUGAUAUUUAAUACUCCCCCUCAACACCAACUCAUUCUUUCCUCCAUGCCGAGUUGACAAUGAAGCUUUUUCUUGCACACCCAUUUGCAUGAUAUGGGUUUCACAUCUCUUUGUUUUGGCACUAGAUUCCAAGCUUGAUUUAGCUCCACUGCAGUAACCUCUUUUCCCAAUUUUGAGCCACUCAUGUUCAUCUGCUUCUUCUUUAAUGGCUGCAUUGGUGUAUUUAGGAUUUUGUUUUCGGAUUCUUGUUGACCUCCUUAGUUGUGAUUGUGGAGUUGGUACUUCCACUUCACUAGGUCUAUCUUCUUCUGGUUGUUGAUAUACGCCAGCUUGCCAAGGGUUUUAGGGCACAACUAGCUCAACACCAUUACCAUCAAGUGAAUCCUCAUACUCAUCUAGUCUUGAUUGGAUUCGAACAGUUUGCUCCCUCAUCUUCUGUUGCAGCUUAUCAUCAACAUCUCUCGAAUCAGGCAAUGCCUCUUUUUUUCUGAAGACCACCAAGAAGAUGGUUCAUCAAACACCAUAUCUUGUGAUGUGUAACACCUUACAGUCGUAGUAUCACAACAUUUCCACCCUUUUCUUUGGCUGCAGUAUCCCACAAAGAUACAUCGGACUGCCUUCCUGUCAAACUUGCUACAUAGAUGGCUUGGAACAAAUGCGUAACAUACAUAGCCAAAUACUCGAAAGUAACCAACUGUAGGUUUCAUAUCCCAUAGUUUUUCAAAGGGUGAGACAAAUUCUAACCUUGGUUGAGAAAGCCUGUUGAUCACAUGAGCUGCAGUUCUCAUAGUUUCUGCCCAAAACUUUCCUGGUACAUUCUUGGCAUGGAGCAUACUUCGACAUAUUUAUGCAAGAUGCCGGUUCUUUCUUUUCGCUAUGUCAUUCUGUUAUGGCAUGUUGACACAUGUGAAUUGGUGACGUAUUCUAUAAUCUCUUAAAUACUGGGAAAACUCAUUUGAGGUAUAUUCUCCUCCAUUAUCCGUGCGUAUGCAACAGAUCUUCUUUCCCACUUAACUUCAAUUGUCUCCUUAAACUCUUUAAAUUUUGAAAAUGUUUUAGAUUUUUCUUUCAUAAAGAAAACCCACACAUACCUGGAGAAAUCAUCAAUGAACGUCACCAUGUACCGCAUCCCACUUAUCAAUGGUUGUUUGACAAGCCCGAACACAUCGGAAUGAACCAACUCCAAAGGUUUUUUCGCUUUAAACUUUGACUUUUAGUGUAGUAGCUGAUGUCCUUUACCAUAUUGGCAUCCUACACAAACCGUGUCUGUUCUCACGUCAAGCUGAGGUAGUCCAUUAAGCAUUGACUUCUUCAUCAUCACAUUUAGCUUAUGAUAGCUAACGUGACCCAAUCUCAUGUGCCAUAAAUCUGCUAUCUCGUUCUUCCUUGUCUUGUCUACGUAUGCAGUUUCUGUUCACAUUACAUAGACUGAUUGCAAUCGCUGUCUCUCCAUUGUUGGCGUCCCUAAGAACUUGAGGUGUUGAUACACCUUCACAUCUCGUGGACCAAACAAGACAUAAUUUCCUAAUGACGUUAGUUGCGGCACUAAAAACAUAUUUUUCUUCAUACCUGGAACAUGGUAAACAUCUUGAAACGGCACAUGGUUAAUUUUAUAUCGGGGCUCAAUUACUGUCUUACCGAUGUGAGCAAUCGGUAGCCUCGAGUUGUUGGCCGUCACCACCAAGCGGCCUCCUUUGCACUCAGUUAGACUUUGUAACGUUUUCUCAUCACUUGUCAUAUGGUUUGAGUAGCCUGAAACCACGAUCUAAUCAUUUUAGUAGUUAAUCGACUCUAGACUUACUGUUGUGAGAGCUGACUCUUGCUUCUCCAUAGCAGCGGAUGCUUCAACAUCUCAUUCUUCCUCCAAGGUUAGAGAUGCUACGGCAUCCCAGACAUCUUCACUUUUCUUCUCUGAAUUAGCGAUGUUACUUUCUGCAGACUUUUUGAACCAUCAAUCUUUUGCCAUAUGACCUUUCUUUCCACAAUUGUAACACUUACCCUCAAACCUUUUAUUGUUCUAGGACUGACCACGGUUGCCUUGAUACUUCAGAGCUCCCCCUGGCUGAGAAUUCCCUCAUUCUUGAUGACCAUUUUCCUUGUCACCAUUUCUUUUAGAUCCACCAUCAGUAUGCUGCUUAAAGCUACCUUUACUUUUGGUGUAGAGUCCUUCCUCCUCACCUCUUAACGAGACCCCUCCCAUUUGGUUUGCCAAAGCUUUAUGAUCGACAAGCAAAUUCGUAAACUCAACAAGUGAUGGUUGGGUCGGCCAUUGUUGUACAGCGGCAACGAAGCCUUGAUAUUCGGGUCUCAAUCCAUGGAUAAUUAUUCUUUUUAUCCUGGAUUCUACAAUGGUAGCAUUAGGAUCUAAUUUAGAAAUUUCACAGCAAAUAGACUUUACCUUGUGGAAAUAUUUUGCAAUCAUCAUGUCUCGUUGGGCCACCCAUAGCAACUCGUUCUCGAGAAGCUGGAGUCUUGUAUCGUUCCUCUUUGAAAAUAUUGUGGCGAAGGUGUCCCACACUUCUUUUGGUGUCUUGGCCUUCCGUAUGUGCUCCAACAUGUCAUCUUCAAUUGUGGGUUUUAAGGCAAACAUGGCCUUACCUGCCUUGAUCUUCGACUUCCUUAAAAUGCCGCUGAUGUUUUCUUCCGGCUGCAUAACUUCAUUACCGCCGACGACAUCCUAAAGGUCUUGGCCUUAUAGGUAAGACUCUAUGCACUCGCCCAUGUGUUAUAAUUUUUGUUGUUCAACUUCUUAAUUCCUCCAACAACUUGAAGAUCUCCCAUCGUGUCAGUAGAACUUCAAUAAGCUGAACAAGAUUAACGAAUAAUCUUGCGAAGUACUAAACUUCUCACGAUUCUAAAAAACUUCACUAGAGACGAUCUCCGAUCGUACCGUUCUGAUACUAAUUGUUGGGGAAAAACUUAAAGUACACAACUCUAACACAAGUAUUGGAGAGACAACACAAGUAAACAAAUUAUUUGUAUUACACUCACAAAAGAUUACAACACACAAACUAUCAAGGAUAAACUUGAGAAGCUAUGACACUCACUUUCUAGAGACAAACUCUAGACCACUCACACUCCUACAAGACUACUCUUACUUCUCACUCUCUUACUUAGCUCUCUUCUUAGCUACUUUCUUCUUUGAUUGAUUGAUACAAAUGGUGUGGAUGCCUUCUUCUUUUGUAGGCAUGGAUGGAACCUUGGAGAAACAUGGAAACAUCAUGCUAAAGAUAUCUAGAUGAUUCCACUACCUUCCUAAGCUAGAAUUAUCUACACUAAUCUUGUAUGUUGGUGGAAUCCUCACCAUUCUUCUAAACUCUUCCACCAACUUGAACUUUGCUAGAAUUCUCUAGCAUGUGUAUGAAUCUUUCUUUGUCCGUAGGCUGGAUCCAUCUUAGGCCAAGGCAAGAUUACACUUCAACAUAAACACCAAUUGGGCUGGUGUUGAUCUUCAACAUGUUUCUCAUCCAUUAUGUACACACAUAUCCCAUAAACAUUCACCAAUUUUCUUUACCAAUUAAUUAAUCUUUUUUCAUAUCCUCUGUUUUGCCUCCCCAGAGCUUCGGGAGCUAAUCCCAAGAGGCCUUCAUUCUCUAAUCUUUAUCGUAACUCUAUCAUUGAUUAAAAACAGAAAGAAAGAGGCAGGAUAUGAACUGACUACACGUUCAACAAUCAACAUUUAUUAUAAUAAAUGAUUAAACUAAUUAAAAAAUAUUUAAUAAUUAAUUAAAAAAUAUUUGAAGCUGCUGUCAAAUUUGAUAGAAGCCCCCUUCGCUGCCAUUCCAUGUCAUGCCACAUAGAAUUUGACACUUUGGUUGGAAACAAUUAGUGGCUGUCUUUUUUUACUGUUAUAACUUAUGUGGACAUUUUGACAUCUACUUUGGAGAUGCUCUAAUAACUAUUUCCUACAGUCUAAGGAUUUUAAAUUUGUGACUUUAUUAAUUAAAAAUAUUAAUUUAACUAAUUCCUUAUUGUCAUUGCAAGUGGCAUUUUACUACAGUAGUAGAAAUGUGUUGAGUCCUUGCAUGGCGGCGUGGGUUCAAACUUUGUCGGUGACUAGUCUAACAUAUAAUUUAUUAAAAUUUAAUAAUCUAUUGUUUGACCAAAAAAAAAAUCUUUAUUGUCAUUAAAAAAAGAGAGAAUUUUUUAUUUCUAUUAUUAUAUUUAAUUAGUCUCUUGCUACAUUAAAAAAAAGAAGUUAUUAAUACUUUCAUAAGAAAGCUUCAUUAAUUUGGUAAAAUUUUACAUAUAGUUAUAUAAAUGUAUUUAAAACUUAUGGUACAUUUGAAAAUAAACGUACCGACUUUUAGUACGUUUAGAUUUUAAAUGUACUAAUAAAUAAAUGUACCAUAAAACCAAAAUUGCUCAUAUUAUAGGUAAUCAAAUGAACUAAUACAAUCAAACGAUCAUACAAUCAAACGUACCUUUACUAUGAUUAUGUAUGUGAUAAUGAGUUUUGAACAUUCUAUUUAAUUCACUAAACUAAAUAGUAUAAUAAACAAUAAAAAAAAUCUAAAAUCUCCAGAAUGAGAGAUGCAUAUAACUACAACAAAUUCAUAGGUAAGGAAUGAUAGGGAAAAAAGGAAAACGAAAGUAGAGAUGUAAUGUGAAAUUUUUUAGGGUGGCUAGCAAACAAUUUCAUGAAAAUUACCCAAAAGGUUCAAAAAAAAAAAAAAAAAAAGGAACUUCUAAAAUUGAACUUUUAAUAAAAUGAAAUUAAUCACCAAAACUGUAGAAAAAAUGUUUAAUCAAAUUCUUAAAAAUAAUAGAUGUUUAAGCAAUGAAAUUGAAAAACUAAGCGUUUAUAUCAAUACGCUCCUAAAAUAUGUAAAAUAAUCAUGGGAACACAAACCAUACCCCUAAGAAUAAAGAGGCAACACGUGAAAUGCAUGGCUUUUCAUUUUUAGUAUAAAUACUUGAUGGUGUUCUUGGAUGAGAUUGUCCAUCUUUUACAUCUCUUUGUUUUUCGAGCUUAAUUAUGGCAGAGUUUGAAAGUGUCAAAUCUUGACGAUUUUGAUUUUUGACGUUUAUUUGUCCAGCAAUAUUGCGCACGAAUCUCUGCUUCUGCACAGCUACAAGAGAAGCUUCAAUGGCAUUGCUGCCAGGCUAACAGAGGAAGAAGCACAGAAGUUGGCUGGUUGUCUUAUGAACCCAACUUUAAUUUAUUUUUCAACUUGCAUAAACAUUAAUAGUGACCAUUGUAUGACGAGAAAAAUAUAUGCAGGAAUGGAUGGUGUGGUGUCUGUUUUCCCUAGUGAAACUAAGAAGCUCCAAACAACAAGGUCAUGGGACUUCAUUUGGUUUUCUGAAAUGGUGAAGAGAAGCGCCAUUGAAACUGACAGGGCCGGCCCAGGUCCAGUGCAGGCAGGGUGACCGUUUAGGGCCCAAAAAAAUUAGGGGCACCAAAAUUAUUAGGGCGGUAUAUUUAUAUAUGUUUUUAUAAGAGUAUAAAUUUAUAAAAUUUGGUUCAAAGACACAGAAAUUUAACUAGAAGUGGUGGUUUGUAAUUUGAAAAUGAUGAGGAGGUCUUGGGUUCAAAACACCAUGUGUGCUUAUUUACUUUCCAUUUUUUACAAAUUUCUUUUUAUAAGAGUAUAAAUUUAUAAAAUUUGGUUAAAGGAUCAAGAAGUUUAAUUAGAAACAAUAAUUUUUGUUGUUUAAAAUUAACAAAAGAUCCUAAGUUCGAAAUGCUAUGUGCAUGUUUAUUCUUUUCAAUUUUUACAAAUUUUUGUUUGGUUGUUAAUUUAUUUUUAGUUACUAUCUAGUAACUAUAUGGGUUGUUAUUUUUAAAUAUUCGUUUUAAUUCAAGUCUAAUCUUCAAAAAGAAUAAUACAUAGACCAAAUUUGCAAAUUAUAUGACGUGUCAUCAAAAUUUUUAAUUUAGCGCCCAUUCAUUAAUAAUACAUAUCAAUUAAAUACUCGAAAACAUCAUUAUUUUUUAGUCCCAUUUUGACAAGGUUAGUAAAUAAGAAAAAAAAAACUCAUGAUUUAUUCAAAAAACAUUCAAAGUUCAGAUAGAAAACCAAACUCAUCAUCUAUCUACUUGUAAGCCCGAAGUUUUUUUGUUUCCCUCUCUCAAUACAAAAUAAAUUAGUCUUUCUGUGUUUCUAAAUUAUUGAGUUUGAAGUGUUUUUCUAAGCAUAAUUUUUUCGAUGUCUUAUGUGUGAAAAUAAAUAAUUUUCUUACAUGAAGUUAAGGCAUUUUUUUUUAGGUCGCCCCGAGCCUCAAAAAUCUCUGGACCGGGCCUGGAAACUGAUAUCAUUGUCGGGGUGAUUGACUAUGGAAUUUGGCCCGAAUCUGCCAGCUUCAGUGACGCCGGGUUUGGUCCACCCCCCACAAGGUGGAAAGGCGCAUGCAAGGGCGAAGACAAUUUUACUUGCAACAAGUAAAGCAAACCAGUUUAUUUCAACCAUCCACUGCACAUUUCAAAAAAAUAUAUAUAUAAAUAUAUCACGUGUUGUUGUUAAUUACACUUGGACAGAAAAAAAAAAGUGCGAACUUGAUUAUAAUUUGUAUGAUAUGUUGUCAAAUUGUAACUCUGACUUAAAUAAUAUGACAAAUUGUUGUUACACUUGGACAGUAAAAUUAUCGGAGCACGGUAUUACCGCAGUCUACCCUACCCCAAAAAUAGCAGUGAUAUCCUGUCUCCGAGAGACACGGAAGGCCAUGGAACCCACUGUGCAUCAACAGCAGCAGGGAACUUAGUUAGCAAGGCAAGUCUGUAUGGUUUAGGGUUGGGGACAGCAAGAGGAGGGGUGCCAUCAGCACGCAUUGCGGUGUACAAGGUUUGUUGGUCAGAAGGGUGCCUGGAUGCUGAUAUACUAGCGGCAUUCGAUGAUGCCAUAGCUGACGGUGUUGACAUACUCUCUGUCUCCCUUGGGGGGCUUAAACCGUUAGACUACUUCAGAAAUUCCAUUGACAUUGGAGCUUUUCACGCUUUAAGAAAAGGAAUAUUUACUUCCGCAUCUGCUGGUAAUGAAGGUUCAAACCUGAAAACUAUUACAAACUUUGCACCAUGGUCUCUUGCUGUGGCUGCUAGCACCAUAGAUCG
rnacentral:lncRNA from 1 species